rnacentral:lncRNA from 1 species
UUUUUUUUUCUUUUAUGCACCGUGCUGUUAUGAGAUAGUCCUUGGUUGAUUUAUAGAAUGCUCUUUGCACUUCACUUAAAUCUUUUGAGUAUGGCUUUAUAGAAUACUUCAUGUGCUUCACUUAUAUCAUUUGAAGUUUGGAUUGCCUGUUUCUCUUCACAUAGAAAACCGCCAUUUGUAGAAUGCUCUUUUGCUUCACUUAUAUUUGUUAGAGCGUGGGCAUAUAUUUUGUAGAAAGAAUUAAACUCUCUUGCUUCACUUAUAUCUAUUUAGAGAGAUGACAGGAAUUGGUCAUUCACAUGGUUAGUCAUAAAAUCCUACAUAAAACUUGUAGAUCACUGAAUAUGAUAUGUUUGAUUCCUUGCAAUAGUUUUGCGAUGUAAAGAUGGUGAUAUUAGAGUCAUGCUUGUCAUGCCCAAUAUGCGAUACUAUCCUAAAGAGACUCGAAGGUCCCACCAAGGAUAGAACCGCAUAUUGACACGACAAGUUGGUAUCAGAGCCUCGACCGACCUUAGGAGCCCCCCUUGAUUGAUAGUGUAGCUUGGCCGUUGUUGAGUCUAGAAGAAAACUUUUUCGGAGUCUAGUUAUAUCAGAGAGUAGGAAUUCUUUUUACUCCUCAACCCCUUCGUCGAUCUGGUGAGAAAUCUUGACGUAGGUGUUUUGAUAUACUCCUCUUCCCCUUCAAAACUUUUUAUUAGGAUCUCGCGGUUAGUUCUCGUUCGUUCCGAUGCCAGCUCUUUUCAUCUGGUGCUUUUCUCGUCAAGUUGAUGUGAUCCCCUUCAUCUUUUGCAAGAUCAGUCCUCAGUUCUUUCUCAACGACGUUGUUCCCUCUGUGAAGUUGUCUUUCUUUUCCCACGCGCCCACCCUUCUUCUCGGAGCCGGAGUUCGUAAUCGAGUAUCCACCCUACCCGUGCGAAGCCUUUGCAUUCUUUCCUCAAUUAUUUCAACAGUGUUUUCUCUUCAAGUUAUUCGUCGGUUCCCCGUUCCAAGUUGCCUUUGUUUUACCCGCCCGUUUUCUUCCCGGAGUCUGAGUCUCUAUUCGAGCAUCAAUGUUAUUCGUGCGGAGCCUCUUCAGUUUUUCCUCUAUUGCCUCAACCAUUGUAUUCUCUUCUAGUUCAGCAUUGUUCAUCUCCUCUUUUUUCUUUCCGGUGGAUCCAAUUCAAGACUUUCGUUGUUGAUCGUAUUCAUUUCCUCGACUCAAGUGCUUUCUUUGCUCGUUCGCCUCUUGCCAGUUUAUCUUUCCGGAGUGCCCAAAACAUCGCAGAAGAUUCGUGUUUGCAUUCAAAUAAUUCGAGGUUGUCACCUCAUUCAAGUCUUUCAGUUGUUCCGGUGCAUCAUCUCUCUCUUCAACAAUCCUUUCCAAUGAUGCUUCUUUUUAGUGGGCCCUAACCCACAGGUCUUUUCCCAGGAUCUUACCUGACUCUUCUAAUUUUCCCGGAGCUAUUCUCAAAUUCCUUCGAGGUAUGACGUAAGUAUGAAUUUCAUCAGUCAGAUGCUUUUCCAAGAUCAAUUUCAAACCAUUUUCAUCGUCGACUCAACUUCUUCGCUUUGCAUUCUCCCGGAGUAUCUCAACAAUUUUGGUGUUGUCGUCAUUCUCAACAUUGGAAGACCGAAGUAGAGUUAUCCCUAAAUCUUGUCCGUUCUCCCGAAAAUUUGUGGCGCUAGCUUGAUGUUAUCCUAUCAAAUUGUUUCCAGUCGUGCAAUCCUUUUCAUCCAUCCGGAGUAUUUCAGGAGUUGUUUUUCCGUCUCGAUCAUCCGGAGGCCAUCUUUUUGGAAUAUUUAUUUGUUCUAAGUUUUCAGAUUCGUUCUCCAAUUAUCUAUAUCCGUGCCCCUUCGUUCGUCUCAAUAUUCUUCCGGUGCGUCGUUCAAGUAUUCUUCAAUCAAUUCGCGAUCCCUUCGUUCUCUUGUCUCUUAAUUCCCUCAAGUAUCUUUGUGCUUUUCUAAUUCUUCCCGGUGAUUCAUUCUCCUUCGUCAUUUAAUUUUGAAUUCUUACUGUGGUUCGCUCAAAAUUUCUUUUCUGUUGAUUAUCGUAUCAAUUCAUUCGUUCUUUCCUAAUCCUACCGACGGUUCAUGAAGACUCUCUCGUGUUCGCGCUAUAUCUCCUCGUAGCCCUUUUCAACGCGAAUAAGUAGUAAGCAAAUCCGUUGCUUGUCAUCAGUUUAAAUUGGUGAAGGAUAUGCAUAACAUAAAUCUUAUUCUUCUUUCAUCAAAUUGAUUAAUUCCUUCCUUCGGAGAUUGUUCAUGUUGAAUAAUCUCUCGGGUUCAAGCAGUUCAUCCUUUCUUUUCGGAGUUCCAAGUUUUCUCGGCGAUCUCGUCUCGAAGCUCCAUCUAAUCAUAGCAAGGCCUUAAUCUUAUUCUUGUCAUCCUUCAAUUCUAUCUCAUCAUCCCUUUUGUUAUCGGAGUUCUUCACGGUGACUCGUCAUGAUUUAAUUCAUUCUUCAAAUGUUCAUCAAGAUUCUUGUUGAAGGAGCUCAAGUAUCUUUUCUUCGUGCAUCUUGAAGUGCAAUUAAUUCCCUGUAUUCUUUUGAAGUGGAGUUUUGCAUUUCUUCGUUCUUUCAACUAUUUCAACCAUUUCCGUUUGUGGUCGGUUAUCACCUCAUAAUUUUGAGAUGUUAUCCAUAAGUCCACAACAAGCUUAUUCUUUUCGUUGUUGAUUUUCUCAACAACUACGUCCAAUCCUUCCUUCUAAGGAUGCUUCCAAACUCAAUUGUGGUAGAUGAUAUCAUUUUCUUCUUCGUCCCUUUCACUCAACUUUUCCAAGUUUUUCGGAGGCAUUGUGUUGUUCCUCUCGUCAACUAUCGUUCCAUCUUGUCAAUCUCAGUUCCAACUCUUUCCAUGUUCAACCGGAGUGCUGCCUAAAUUCUUUCAGUCUUAUUCCAUUCUUAUAUUGUUCCUUCAGCCCUUGAUUCCCGUCGUAAUCAUCGUUCCUCUCUUCUUUCCGAGUGCUCUCGACUCUUUUCAUCUUCUCUUGCGUUAUUGUUUCACCUCAUCCUCUUUCUCUUCCGUCUUGGUCCUAAGAUCUCGGGACGAGAUCUCUUGUUAGUGGAGGAGAGUUGUAACGCCCCGGAUCUGAUGCGCCAGGUGUCUUCUAGUUAUUCGCCGUCGUUGCCAUGUCAUUUGCUUGCGUGUUUCAUCUUUUCCAUGUCAUCAUCUGCAUUGCAUCCUCAUAUUUUUUCAAAACUUGCCUCCAGUCUUUUUCCCCGUUGUCCGUUUCGCGGUCCGACACUCUCACAUGCACCCGUUGCACCUCUUAGACCUUGUUUCUUGAGCGGGAGAAAAAUGUUCUCGGAAUGGGCCGAGAUUUCUCAAGUGGCCUUGGUAUAUCACCGGUAGACCGCCUGUCAAAUUUCGUUCCAUUUGGAGUUCGUUUGAUGCCCGAACGGUUAACCGGGUAACCGCGAAACCCCUCUCUCUUUGCAGCACAGCCCCACUUCACCACAGCCCAUGAGCCCAUCCAAACCCCCUCCAUGCUCUCGGUCGUUGGAUCAUGAUCGUGUCGGCGAAACCGCUCCUCAUUUGGACACUCCUAGCUCCCUCUACCUAUAAAUAGGUCCUCCCCCUCCAUUUUUCGCGGAUGAAACCCUAGCUCCACCCCUCUUCCGCCGCCGGACAAAUCCCGCGCCGCCUCCCGCGACCAAUCGCAGCGUGACACGUGUCCCGCCGCCGCCACCCACCUCCGCCGGCCCGCGGAGCCCGAGUCGGGCCCGCGCGCCACCGCCGUCGGGAGAGUGCCCCCGGCCCGCUCCGCCUCCCUGCGCCCAACCCGCGCCGCUGCCUCCAUCGCCGCGCUGGCCACCGCAGCCCCGUCGACCUCGCUGCGCCGCCGCACUGCCCUGCCGUCGCCUCGUCGGUCGCGCGCUCCCGCGCCUCCUCUCCUCCGCCCCCGGCCAGAUCCGGCCGCGGGAGGGCCGGAUCCGUCUACCCCGAGUUUCUCCGCCGAGUCCCCGAGCUCCGGCCGCUGUAUGCUUCCUCUCCGGCGAACUACUCCGGCGAAAUCCAUCCGCAUCGAGAACCGUGCCGAAACCCUAGAAGGUUGACCUCGUUUUUCAGUCCUGAAAUUUUUGCAUUAUGUACCCAUGUUUGUCAUGCCAUAUCUCCAUGCAUAUAGCUCCGAUUUGUGCAUAUGAGAUAUCAAAAUGUUCACUGUGAGAUGCUCUUCAUUUAGUUCUAUUGUGGCAUGCUUAUUUGAGUUCAUCUUGAUGCCCCAAUCAUCGUCGCAAGAGUGCUAUAUGUUGUUAACCUGCUGAGACUGUUAUAAAUUGUUGUUUUGUCAUUUUCAUUGCACUUUGUGUGUGCAUCCUUUGAGCAUGAUGUCUACAUGUUUUAGGAGCAUAUUCAUGCCAUAUUUACAGUGGUUCAAUUCAUGUAUUUUUGUGUGCCUUGUGGUGAGUGCAACAAGCUUGUGAAGUGGGCUACUUGUUAUUACUGUUUUGUUAGGCUGAAACUGCCACAUCAUGUUGCUAUGUUUGAUUUAUGCUACCAUCAAUUAUAUGCAUAAUCUGGAGAUGUUCACUAAGGAUGUUUUGUUACACAUAUUAUGCUCUAUUCAUCCAUGCCCUUAUUUGCAUUUAUAGCCUGCUGUAACUUGUUGUAAUCUUACUCUCAAAUUGCUAAAUAAUGUUACUGUCAGCCUGUUAACAUUAAGUUCAGUUUUGCCAUGCUUGGCUUCUUAAAUAUGUUAUAUUACUGUUGGUUGACUUCACAUGCCAUGAAAUGCCUUGUGGUGAGUGGUUCAAGCUCACCAACAUGCCUACUUAUCGUUGUUCCUGCCAUGUGCUAUUAUUUUCACUAAGUCUGAAUCUGUCAUAUCAUUUGCCUUGUGGUGACUGCAACAAGCUUGUGAAGUGGGCUACUUGUUAUUACUGUUUUGCUAGGCUGAAACAGCUACAUCAUGUUGCUAUGUUUGAUUUAUGCUACCAUCAAUUAUAUGCAUAAUCUGAAGAUGUUCACUAAGGAUGUUUUCUUAGACAUAUUAUGCUCUAUUCAUCCAUGCCCUUAUUUGCAUUUAUAGCCUGUUGUAGCUUGUUGUAAUCUUGCUCUCAAAUUGCUAAAUAUUGUUGCUGUCAGCCUGUUAACAUUAAGUUUAGUUUUGCCAUGCUUAGCUUCUUAAAUAUGUUAUAUUACUGUUGGUUGACUUCACAUGCCAUGAAAUGCCUUGUGGUGAGUGGUUCAAGCUCACCAACAUGCCUACUUAUCGUUGUUCCUGCCAUGUGCUGUUAUUUUCACUAAGUCUUGAAUCUGUCAUAUCAUUUGCCAUGUUUGCAUGGCUGCUACCAUAUUUCUGUUGAUCUUUGGAAUAAGUUCAUUAAGGGAGUUUUGUUCUUUGUCUUUAGUAUUAGCACGCCAUGCCUUUUUUGCCAUGAUAAGUUCCUUUAGCAUGUUGUUUGAUAGCUCUAAACAUUGCAACCUGAUGUUAUUUUUGCCAUGCCCAGUGAAUUUCUGCCAAGUUUGUGAACUGUUAUUAUUUGCAAUCUUGCCAUGUCCUUUUGAGCAUGUUCUAGUGAUUUCUGGAGAUAUUUCUUUGUUCAUGUUUUGUAAUGCUUUACCUGUACAUCACGUCCAUGCCUUUUCUUUUCAUGUUGGAGUGCUGUAGCAUAUUGUUUUGAUGCUUGCAAGAUGUGCUGUUUUGGACAGCUUGUCCUUUAAACUUGUUUCAAGUGUAUGUGUUGAACCGUGGCUCCGUUUUGAACAUGUUCUAUUUUAAACUUGUGUAGUGUUGCAUGUAGUUUUAUGUUACCUUGUUGCAUCCAUGUUUUGAGGUGUGUGCUUGAUGUUUGUAUGCAUUUUGCAUCAAUGCCAUGUUUAACUUUUUUUGCUCAUAUCUUCUAGGCCGUAGCUCCGAAUUAAACGAACUUUAUAUGUAACUUGACUAGAAAACAGUGUAGAUCAUCUUGAUGCAUAUUAACUUGCUGUUUAACAACUUGAACGUAAGGUUUAUUCAAAUCUGGACCAAUUUCGAAAUUUGCAUAUGAGGACUUACCGGUAUUGUUAUAUGUUGUUUCCGGCCUCAUUUAAACUUGCUUUGAUGUGUUGCUCUUGUAUGCAUCAUCUCUUGCCUUGAGUAGCUUCAUGUAGCCUUGACAUGCAUCAUACUUGGUUGAGUAUCAUGUCAUGUUUAUGUGUUGUGUGUUUACCUUGUUGUUUGCUUCUUUCCGGUUGUGCUUCUUCUCGAUAGUUCCCGUUUCGUUGCGAUCAUGAGGAUUCGUUCGACUACGCUUGGUUCGUCUCGUGGCUUCAUCUUCUUCAUGGACUCGUUCUUCUUCCUAUGCGGGAUUCCAGGCAAGAUGACCGUCACCUUGGAUCUCACUACUACCAUUGCUAUGCUAGUUGUCUCGAUGCUAUCGCUAUGUCGCGCUACCUACCACCUGUUUAUCAAGCCUGCCAAAUUGCCAUGAAAACCUCUAACCUUUUCACCCUUCCUAGCAAACCGUUGUUUGGCUAUGUUACCGCUUUGCUCAGCCCCUCUUAUAGCGUUGCUAGUUGCAGGUGCAGUUGCAGGUUGUUCCAUGUUGGAAUAUGGAUAUCAUGAACUUUGUUGGGAUAUCACAAUAUCUCUUAUUUUAAUUAAUGCAUCUAUAUACUUGGUAAAGGGUGGAAGGCUCGGCCUUUUGCUUGGUGUUUUGUUCCACUCUUGUCGCCCUAGUUUCCGUCAUACCGGUGUUAUGUUCCUUGAUUUUGCGUUCCUUACGCGGUUGGGGUUAUGGGACCCCCUUGACAGUUCGCUUUGAAUAAAACUCCUCCAGCAAGGCCCAACCUUGGUUUUAACAUUUGCCACCUAAGCCUUUUUCCCUUGGGAGUCGCGCUCCCGAGGGUCAUCUUAUUUUACCCCCCCCCCCCCGGGGCCAGUGCUCCUCUGAGUGUUGGUCCAAACUAGAGCACCAUGCGGGACCGUCCCUUGGCAACUUGGGUUACGUUGGUACUUGUACGCUUAGCUUAUCCGGUGUGCCCUGAGAACGAGAUAUGUGCAGCUCCUAUCAGGAUUUGUCGGCACAGUCGGGUAGUCUUGCUGGUCUUGUUUUACCAUUGUCGAAAUGUCUUGUAACCGGGAUUCCGAGUCUGAUCGGGUCUUCCCGGGAGAAGGAAUAUCCUUCGUUGAUCGUGAGAGCUUGUGAUGGGCUAAGUUGGGAUACCCCUGCAGGGUUUGAACUCUCGAAAGCCGUGCCCGCGGUUAUGUGGCAGAUGGGAUUUAGUUAAUAUCCGGUUGUAGAAGACUUGAAGUAAACUCAAUUAAAAUACACCAACCGCGUUGCAUAACCGUGAUGGUCUCUUUUCGGGGAAGUUCGAGACGAGAACACGGUUGGGUUAUGGUUGACGUAAGUAGUUCAGGAUCACUUCUUGAUCAUUACUAGUUGGCGACCAUUUGCGUAGUUUCUCAUCUUAUUCUUGUAUUCGUAAGUUAGCCACCAUACAUGCUUAGUCGCUGCUGCAACCUCACCACUUUACCCCUUCCUUACCCACUAAGAUUUGCUAGUCUUGAUACCCAUGGUAAUGGGAUUGAUGAGUCCUCGUGGCUCGCAGAUUAUUACAACAACAGUUGCAGGUACAGGUUGUGCGAUGAUGAUGAUGCGAGAGCGAUGUUUACUCGUGUUGGAGUUCUUCUUCUUCGUCGAUCUUGGGUUAGGUUCCUGGUCGGCAGCCUGGGCUAGCAGGGUGGUUAUUGUUUGAGUUUCUGUUUGUGUAUCAUCCAUAGUCGGAUGUUGAUCUCUUGUAUGAUGUUGAUGUAUUCUUGGGGCGUUUGUGCCUUUUGUAUGUAUCCCCAUCUAUUAUGUAAUGUUGAUGUAAUGAUAUCCACCUUGCAAAAGCGUGUCAAUAUGCGGUUCUAUCCUUGGUGGGACCUUCGAGUCUCUUUAGGAUAGUAUCGCAUAUUGGGUGUGACAAUGCUAAUGGGUAGUUGUGGAUUGUAUAAAUACUUGUGUUGAGGAUUGUGAUUCCCGUAGCAUGCACGUACGGUGAACCGUUAUGUAACAAAGUCGGAGCAUGAUUUAUUUAUUUAUUAUCUUCCUUAUGAGUGGCGGUCGGGGACGAGCGAUGGACUUUUCCUACCAAUCUAUCCCCCUAGGGGCAUGCGUAGUAGUACUGUGCUUCGAGGGCUAAUAAACUUUUGCAAUAAGUAUAUGAGUUCUUUAUGACUAAUGUGAGUCCAUGGAUUAUACGCACUCUCACCCUUCCAUCAUUGCUAGCCUCUUCGGUACCGUGCAUUGCCCUUUCUCACCUCAAGAGUUGGUGCAAACUUCGCCAGUGCAUCCAAACCCCGUGAUACGAUACGCUCUAUCACACAUAAGCCUCAUUAUAUCUUCCUCAAAACAACCACCAUACCUACCUAUCAUGGCAUUUCCAUAGCCAUUCCGAGAUAUAUUGCCAUGCAACUUCCAUCAUCAUCAUAUACAUGACUUGAGCAUUUAUUGUCAUAUUGCUUUGCAUGAUCGUAAGAUAGCUAGCAUGAUGUUUUCAUGGCUUGUCCGUUUUUUGAUGUCAUUGCUACGCUAGAUCAUUGCACAUCCCGGUACACCGCCGGAGGCAUUCAUAUAGAGUCAUAUCUUUGUUUUAGUAUCGAGUUGUAAUAUUGAGUUGUAAGUAAAUAAAAGUAUGAUGAUCAUCAUUAUUAGAGCAUUGCCCCAGUGAGGAAAGGAUGAUGGAGACUAUGAUUCCCCCACAAGUCGGGAUGAGACUCCGGACUUUAAAGAUAAAUAAAAGAGGCCAAAGAAGCCCAAAUAAAAAAGAGGCCAAAGAAGCCCACCAAAAAAGAGAAAAAACAAAAAAUAUAAAAAAACAAAAAAAUGAGAGAAAAAGAGAGAAGGGGCAAUGUUACUAUCCUUUUAACACACUUGUGCGUCAGAGUAGCACCAUGUUCUUCAUAUAGAGAGUCUCUUGAGUUAUCACUUUCAUAUACUAGUGGGAAUUUUCAUUAUAGAACUUGGCUUGUAUAUUCCGAUGAUGGGCUUCCUCAAAUUCCCGAGGUCUUCAUGAGCAAGCAAGUUGGAUGCACACCCACUUAGUUUUCAGUUUGAGCUUUCAUACACUUAUAGCUCUAGUGCACCCGUUGCAUGGCAAUCCCUACUCCUCACAUUGACAUCAAUUGAUGGGCAUCUCCAUAGCCCGUUGAUUAGCCGCAUUGAUGUGAGACUUUCUCCUUUUUUGUCUUCUCCACACAAACCUCCAUCAUCAUAUGCUAUUCCACCUAUAGUGCUAUAUCCAUGGCUUGCGCUGAUGUAUUGCGUGAGGGUUGAAAAGGCUGAAGCGCGUUAAAAAGUAUGAACCAAUUGCUUGGCUUGUCAUCGGGGUUGUGCAUGAUUUGAAUGCUUUGUGUGGUGAAGAUGGAGCAUAGCCAGACUAUAUGAUUUUGUAGGGAUGAUCUUUCUUUGGCUAUGUUAUUUCGAUAAGACAUAAUUGCUUGGUUGGUAUGCUUGAAGUAUUAUUGUUUUUAUGUCAAAAGAUAGACUAUUGCUUUGAAUCACUCGUGUCUUAAUAUUCAUGCCAUGAUUAGAUUACAUGAUCAAGAUUAUGCUAGGUAGCAUUCCACAUCAAAAAUUAUCUUUUUUAUCAUUUACCUACUCGAGGACGAGCAGUAAUUAAGCUUGGGGAUGCUGAUACGUCUCCGUCGUAUCUAUAAUUUUCGAUCGUUCCAUGCCAAUAUUAUUCAACUUGCAUAUACUUUUGGCAACUUUUUAUAUUAUUUUUGGGAUUAACAUAUUGAUCCAGUGCCCAGUCCAGUUCCUGUUUGUUGCAUGUUUUAUGUUUUGCAUAAACCCCAUAUCAAACGGAAUCUAAACGGGAUAAAAAUGGACGGAGAAUAUUUUUGGAAUAUUUGAAAAAUAUGGGAAGAAGAAUCAACGCGAGACGGUGCCCGAGGUGGCCACGAGGCAGGGGGCGCGCCUACCCCCCUCGUGGGCCACCCGUAAGGCGGUUGCUGCUCUUCUUCGGCCGCAAGAAAGCUAAUUUUCAGAAGAAAAAAAUCUCGGCGAAGGUUUCAAUCCAAUCGGAGUUACGGAUCUCCAUAUAUAUAUACGAAACGGUGAAAGGGCAGAAUACCAGAACGCAGAAACAGAGAGAGACAGAGAGACAGAUCCAAUCUCGGAGGGGCUCUCGCCCCUCCCACGCCAUGGAGACCAUGGACCAGAGGGGAAACCAUUCUCCCAUCUAGGGAGAAGGUCACCUUCCCCCCUCUAUCUACAGCGGUCCACUCUUCCACAACCCGCUGUACCCUCUACUUGAACAUGGUGCUUUGUACUUCAUAUUAUUAUCCAAUGAUGUGUUGUCAUCCUAUGAUAUCUGAGUAGAUUUUCGUUGUCAUAUCGGUGGUUGAUGAAUUGCUAUGAUUGAUUUAAUUUGCUUGUGGUUAUGUUGCUGUCCUUUGGUGCCCAUCAUAUGAGCGCGCGCGUGGACCACACCAUAGGGUUAGUUGUAUGUUGAUAGGACUAUGUAUUGGAGGGCAAGAGUGACAGAAACUUCAACCUAGCAUAGAAAUUGAUGCGUACGGGAUUGAAGGAGGACCAAUAUAUCUUAAUGCUAUGGUUGGGUUUUACCUUAAUGAACGUUAGUAGUUGCGGAUGCUUGCUAAUAGUUCCAAUCAUAAGUGCAUAGAAUUCCAAGUCAGGGAUGACAUGCUAGCAGUGGCCUCUCCCACAUAAAACUUGCUAUCAGUCUAGUAAAGUAGUCAAUUGCUUAGGGACAAUUUCGCAACUCCUACCACCAGUUUUCCACAUUCUCUAUACUAACUUUAUUGCUUCUUUAUCUAAACAGCCCCUACUUUUAUUUACGUGCUCUUUAUAUUCUUGCAAACCUAUCCAACAACACCUACAAAGUACUUCUAGUUUCAUACUUAUUCUAGGUAAAGCGAACGUUAAGCGUGCGUAGAGUUGUGUCGGUGGUCGAUAGAACUUGAGGGAAUAUUUGUUCUACCUUUAGCUCCUCGUUGGGUUCGACACUCUUACUUAUCAAAAGAGGCUACAAUUGAUCCCCUAUACUUGUGGGUUAUUAGUAGAUGGGAGGGGGCAAGGUACGCUGUGCCUUGGCCACAACAAGGCACUGGAUCUCGAUCCGUUAUUGGGCUGAUCCAAAAUAAACCAAAUUCCAGCACCCAGUUCCACUUGCACAUGCAUGGGCGGGCACAAGGAAACAUGCAAGCAGAGGCACAUCACCCACUGACCAAACCAUCGGCGUCACCACCACACACAGUCACAGGGUGACGCGUAGUAGGCCAUAUGCUGACAGAGACGUCCAUACCCUGCAUGCCAUCUCUUCUGGCCCUCUCUAUCCACGUGUAGGCGUACUAUAUCUCAUACGAGCAUGGUUAAUAGUAUAGCCAGCUGAUGUCUAUAUAGACAUGACAUGUCAUCAAAAGUUAGCAUUAUUAAUUACUCAUACAAUAGAGCUGAUUAUAAGAUUGGCUACAAGUUCACAACUUUUUUUCAUUUUCUUUCUUUCUUUCCUCUCAUUAAAGCUUUUGCAUAGAAGCACGUAUAAAGGUUGGCUCUUGCAUAAGAGCCCACUUCAUCACUUUUUUCUUGUCUCUCUCCUCUAUAUAAGCGGGCUUAUAGCCCACUAUUGUACUUGCUCUACUAGAAGAAGAAACUAAAAGAGAGAAACGUACUGUCAUGGAGCAACAGUGUGUGGUACUGUAUGAUCAUAAGCGUAACUUUCCUCCUCCAUAGAGCAACAGUUUAACUGUUGAUGCACAUUUUUUUGCGGGUGAAAUAAUGUAUUACUCAAUCUCAAGGUCCAUACAAUCAAUCACUGCAAACUCCAAUGCCUCUGAAGGCCCCGAACCUAUCCAAGUCAUGGUUCUACCUUCUAGACGAGCAAACUUAGCUAGACUAUCACUAACCUUAUUUUGACUACGAUUGAUAUGAGUAAUACAAGAAUCACGAAGACACAUAAGGUAACGGAUCUCCUUAGUGAGCGACGCGUAAACAGAUCUGUCCACCUCCUGAGCCUGUAUCAGCUUCACUGCAACAAUGGAAUCCACCUCGAUCAUGCUACGUAGGACACUCCUCUGGAUAGCAAAUGACAAACCCUCCAUGCAAGCACACAAUUCAGCUUCUAGGGCUUCGCGACAUGAGAAAAGCUGCCUACACGAAGAAAAAAUUAUAGAACCCUUGUCAUCUCUCAGCACCAUGCCAGCGCCUGCCGAUCCAUCAUCUGCAUACGAGCCAUCAGUGCACAACUGCACCCAGCCGGCCUUGGGUGCAAUCCACUUGGGAUGAGCAACAUUUGUUAUCACAUGUGACCGCCGGGGAUGAAUAUCAUAUGUGAUAACAGAUUUUCCCUUACUAGGAUCGGAAGAGAGAACAGUUCUAAUGCCAAUAAGAGAGUCAAGGUAGCUCACCAAGAAUCGUUUCGAAGCUUCCAUAGGCGGUACAGGCUUAUGAUGGAUGACCUCAUUCCUGAUGUACCACGCCCGCCAAAGCGUCAUUAGCAACAUGGAACGCUCAAUUUCCGGCAGUGUCUCUAACACAUGCAGCAGCCAUUCUGUACCAGAAUUAUGCAUGGAUGUAAUACACGGCAAGGUCCACACAUCCGCCAUUGUUUCCCAUAAGAUACGUGAGAAAGUGCACCGGCAUAAUGAGUGGAAACAGUCCUCAGUCUCUGUAGCACACAACGGACAUAAAUCAGUUGUUUCAAGGCCACGUACAUGCUUGUUUCUCCAUGUUGGCAAAGAAUCUGUAGCGACCCUCCAGGCAAAAUUUCGUACUGUUGGUGGAACCUCUGUAGACCAAAUAAGCUGCCAGCAUGAGCGCGCACCAUCUGGUCGGGAGCUAGACCCGGUUGUUGCGCUCCUGUGGGCUUCGUCGAAGCCGAAUUGAUAUGCACUCUUUACUGAAAAUACUCCGUAUUUACUAGGACCCCAAGCCAAAGUAUCUUCCUCCAAGCGCGGCGACGUCCUGAUCUUCAUGAUCUCGGUCACAUCCGCCGGCAAAAAAUAUUCAUGCAGUAAUGCUUGGUUCCAAGCCCCUUGCUCAUUUAGCAACUCCGAGACAAAACGAAUUCUGCACCUUCCCUGCAUGGUGAUCAGUUUAAAGGAGAACGGUCUCGGGAUCCAAUUAUCACGCCAAACCCGAAUACUCCUACCGUUUCCCACCCUCCAGAUAAGUCCCUUCUUCAGAAGAUCAAGACCAUAGCUAAUAGUCUGCCAAGACGACGAAGCAUUAACAGAAAACACAGUGUCCUCAAGCUUACCCUCGGGGUAGUAUCUAGCCUUUAAGACUUGUGCACAUAGACUGUCGGGUUUCGAGAUUAAUCUACAAGCUUGCCUAGCUAACAAAGCUUGGUUAAAAAUACGGAAAUCACGGAAGCCAGCACCACCUUUAUUUUUUGGUUGUAACAGAUCAUUCCAAGCUCGCCAAUGCACUUUUCUUUUGCCCUUCUCAGACCCCCAAUAAAAACCUCUCACCAUCCUUGUAAGUUCAUCACAAACUGCAAAAGGUAGCUUAAACACCCCCAUGAUAUACGUGGGUAAAGCCUGAGCAACUGACUUAAUCAGUAUCUCCCUCCCAGGCUGGGCAAGUAGACCAUCACCCCACUGUAACAAUCUUUUAGUUAAUCUCAUUUGGAGGUUUUGAAAUCUACCUUUGGACAUGCGACCAUCAGGAGUAGGAAGACCAAGAUACUUUUCUUCGAAGAUCAAACUAGUAACAUUGAGCACUUCUCUAACUUCCUCCUGAGCAGCAAUAGGACAUGCAGCACCAAAGAGUAUCGAGCAUUUGUCAAAAUUUAGGCUUUGUCCUGUUGCUUUAUCAUAAAUAUCAAGAGCCAUUUUAACCUUUUCAGCCUGAGCACGUGAUGCCUCAAAAAACAACAUUGUGUCAUCAGCAAACAAAAGGUGUGAGAUACCUAGAGCUCUUCUACACACCUUCACCGGUGAUAUUUGACCCGAAGACACAAAAUGUUUGAGAAUUGCAGAUAAGCCAUCAGCCAUAAAAAGGAACAAAAAGGGAGAGAGAGGAUCGCCCUGCCGAAGCCCACGCGACGGUGUAAAUGAAUCCAAGAGGGUCCCAUUAAGUUUGACAGAAUAUCUCACCGAUGUGACACAAGACAUUAUCCAGUCCACCCACCGCUGAGAGAAACCCAACUUUUGCAUCACUUGCUUCAAGAACUUCCAAUCCACCCUAUCAUAUGCCUUAGAUAGGUCCAACUUAUAUGCACAAAAACUUUUUGUGGGAUCUUUUUUUGCUUGAUAUGAUGAAUACACUCAAAGGCCACAAGUGCAUUAUCCGUAAUCAUACGCCCAGGAAUAAACGCACUCUGCUCCGGAGAAACAAUGUCAUCAAGAAGUGGCCUCAACCGAUUGACUAGACACUUAGAGAUGACUUUAUAAAUAACAUUACAGAGACUGAUUGGCCUGUAGUGAGACAAGCUGGUAGGUUAGAAAUUUUAGGAAUAAGAACGAUAGACGUAGAAUUUACCCCUGCCGGCAUGAGUCCUGUUCUGAAAAAUUCUUUGACUGCUUCUAUGACACUGUCCUUCAAAGUUACCCAAUUACGCUGAAAAAACCGCGCCGGCAGACCAUCGGGACCAGGUGCCUUUAAAGGACCGAUCUGAAAUACGCAUCUGAAAUCUCUGUAUCACCAAAUGGAGCGCAUAACCGUACAUUAUCCUGAUCUGAAUUUUUUUUCCUCAAGUAGAUCGAGAACUAGGGAAGCAUCAAGUGUUGUAUCAGCCGUGAAUAUACCUUGAAAAUAAUCAUUUGCCAAGGUCGCCAUCUCCUCAAAAUUAGAGUGAACCACUCCAAUGCUAUCUGUUAACUCACGUAUUUUAUUUUUGCGAGCCCGCCAAACAGCUUUACUUUGGAAAUACUUGGUGUUUCUAUCACCCUCUUCCAGCCACAAAAUUCUUGACCUUUGAAGCCACAUCAUCUCUUCUUGAUAAAUCAACUCGUUCAUCUUAUCCGUGAUAUUUCUGAUUUCCUGCCUAUCCGCAUUCAUACUCAUAAGCUCCUCAAGCUGAGAACGUGACUUGGCUAGCUCUCUAGAGAUAUUACCAAACUUCUUGUUACUCCACGUACUGAGGGUAGCCAAAGUUUUUCUUAGCGCGCAUUGUAGCUUCUCCAAAUUGUCCACUACUAUUAUCUUUGAUACGGAUUAACUGUUGAUGCACAUGUGCCUUAACUUCCGUGGCGCACUGCAUCAUGCAGGCGGGCGCGGCCGAGACGCAUGCAUGGGUCCAAAGAUCUCCAGCCAGCCAGCCCGAGCCUGCAAGGACACCAGUCAGUCGAAGCACCGAAGCAAGGACGCAGUGCCCAAGGAACGAUCAAUGUGCGCCAUCCAUGGCCGGCACGGGCGCACGAUCGGAGAAUAUACAUAGAUAGAUUAAUGCUGGCAGGGCCGGCCCUGGGUAGGGGGCAGGAAGUGCGACGGCCUAGGGCACAGCCUGAUUAGGGCCCCGACCUCUGUGUGUAUUUCAGCCAAUCGUUCGUUUAAGUUGAUAAACAGUAGCUGAUACAAUCCUUAGCCGAUGUUUGUUCUCCCCUCGUCCGUCCUGUUGUUCUCUAUUCCGCUCCUCUUUCAAAGCACCUAGCAUUAUUGAUUAGAGGUAAUAUUAUCGGGAGUCAUAUAACUUGUGCUCAAUAUUCAGUUUGGUGCUAAAAUUAUAAAAAUACGGAUUUGUGGUCAUCCAACUUGCGUUUUUGUGCAAAUACAGUCACUUCACCAAGUACCAGUUCGUGUCUACGCGACAAGAAAUGCUGAAUUAUAUAUGUUGGAGACGACGGCUCCUCUAUUCAGGUGGACUUUUUUUUUGUUAAACCAUAUUUAGACGUUACCUCAUUUCGAAUUUUUGGGCGAAAAAACUGAAAUUGCCAAGAUAUUUCGAAACCCAGAUUUUUCGAUGCCCUGAAAAACUGGAAUAAAAAAAUUCUCUUUUGCAAAAGAAAAAAUCUCGCUCAUAAAAAAGUUUGUAUGCCAUGGUAUAAAUAUUGUUCAUUUUGACGCGGUUUUUUUUUGUUUGAACUUAUUUGACAAAAAAAGGAAUCCAAAAAAAAUCUGUGUCUAAUAUUAAGCCAAGUGUACCUCUUUGUACGGAUGUAUAUGUUGUUGGUGAAGUGGUUUGCUAGUGCGUGCAUGGACCUAAUGUCGGGAGUACCCGCAUGCAUUUUUUGUUCUCGUUUCUCUCGCCACCUUGUUCAUAAAUGGGACCCACGUGCGUCCGCUUAAUUAAAUAUGGAAUGAGGGUGCUUCUGCAAAAAGAAAAAAACACACUAAGCUGUUCCAGACACUGAUAGUGGGCCAUAGCCACGCUGGCGUGCCACACUAUAGUCUGAAUAUCAGCGAAGUGACCGUAUUUGCACGAGAAUGCAAGUUAGAUGAUCACAAAUUCGUAUUUUUAAAGUUUUAGCACCAAACUGAAUAUCAAGUGCAAGUUAUAUGACUCCCGACGAUAUUACCUCUAUUGAUUAUGGUUGGUUCCUUUGAUCACCCUUAACUUUUUCAUUAUUACUUCCUUAUAGAUUUCUCUUUUCUUUUCCUGCAGCACACUGCCUAUAAGAAGUCCGGCCCAUCUGUGAGCAGCGGCAGGGGCACGGGCAGGGGCAGGCUGGCAGAACCUCAUCAGCCCCAUUUGCUUUCCAACCAGGAUGGACACCGCCUCAAAAAGAUCUAGUAUUUUUUAAGUCCAUUUUCCAUUUGAUCUUUUUAUAGUUUGUUUAAUUUUGGCUCCCUGAUUGGUCUUCUCGUUGCGUACAAUUUGCUCAAACAGGGAAUCGAGGACAGAGCGAGGACCAUUGAAGUCCAAGAUGUUUGGAAUUGGAUAGUUCAAUCUCUACUUUUCUCCUCCAACGAUUCAGGUGUUCCCUCUUUUCCUAUACUAGGUAUCGCUCGUGCGUUGCAACGGGAAUAAACGGUCUGAUGGCAAUAAAACUGGACUAUCGUGGAAGAAACCACUACCAUAGCAGUGUCAACGGGUUGGCAGAAAAGUAUUAGUUCUCGGCCAUAUUCAUUUAGUUCCAUGUAUGUUCAUUACCCCUUCUUAAAAUAUCAUAUAUAUCUAAAUAUAGUCUAAAUGUACAAAAAUAUUAUUUUAAUUAGUAAUCUAAAAUAUCUUAUAUUUAUUUUUCUCGCAAAAAACAUCUUAUAUUUGUUGACAGAGGGAGCAGUAAAUUAUCAUAUCAAAAUGUCCCUGCAUAUAUGACUAUAACAAAAUCCAAGAUAAUAUAAUCACAACAACCAUUUUUGUGCAUAAAUAAUUCAGUUUUUCUACAAUUAGAUUACGUGAUGCAAAUCUAAAUCUAUAUCUCUAAGUUCUUUAUUGAGGGUAGAAAUAGUACACACCACCUCAUUGUAUACUUCUGAAACCUUUUUCAAGAAAUGAGCAAAACUAAAUUGCAUCACAUUAAGUUAAAAAUUAAAAUAGGAAAUGCUUUGGUACACCCCUUAAAAAGUUGCACAGAUCUCAAUCCAGAUCAGUGGUAGUACAAAUUAGAAGAACUAAUCUAUUGGGCCAAAAAGGACAAUAUGGUCAUCUCCCAUGCAAGAUGAUGGUCGACGGCGAGCACGUUGAUCACCCGAAGAGAGUCGCAGACGUCGGCCAUGCAGACGACGGUGGCCGCGACAGACUCGCCGUUGUGUGGGACCUCGAGGUCGUCCUCCUCUCGCCACUGUGCCAUGGCCCCGGGGCCUCUUCCGCGCUGCGCUGUUCAUUGUGGUCGUCACCGUCGGAGGGCAGCGCCUUCAAAGCUCGCGGCUUCCUCCCUUUGCUUGCGGAGGGAAAGGACACACAUGCAUCUCGUUUAACAUUCCCCUUUUUGUCUGCCAACCGCGCUGCCUCCAUCUCUGCCGGCUGAAACAAUUUUGACCCGACAAACAGCGGCGGGCACGUAUCAGGAUGGUGUUUCGACCCCACCGACAAUAGAUAAGCAGAGGGCGCCCAAAAUCCAUAUAUCCGCAUGUUGAUUCCUCAUGAACACGCACGCACACAUACACAAGAUUGAUCAUCGGGGUUCUGACAAUCGCCAGCUAGGCGGAACAUCGCGCUGCGGCAUGCGGCUGGAGGUGGGAGAUGAUUAGUGGCAUCUAAAAGUUCAGGACUACUAAGAACGGAGCAACGGAGGAAAGCCACGGGAGAAAGGAGAAGGUCCCUAAAUUCCUCACGUGAAAAUCUUUCUCUUCCAUGAAAUCUCUCUCUCUCUCUCUCUCUCUCUAUGAGUCACGAUGUUUCAGGAGAUAUUUUUUCGACCAUGUGAUGUGGGAGAAAAAACCAGGAUGUGGAUCAAUCCGGGGAAUGAGGGACGGAAACUUCGUAAGAGGGGAGACGGAACACUACAUCUUUUUUAGGUAAUAGUAGAGAAGAUACUAUAAAAAUGUUUCCUAAAACGAAUUUUCGGUUGUUGCCAAAACUUCCUACCAUAUAAAUGUCCAUGAUGUAUUAUUUAGACCUUAUUUGCUAAUGACUUCCUGCUACCGUAUAUUGGCAAAAAAAAAAAGACUUCCUGCUACCGUAGUUUCCUUUUGAAAUUGGAAGUCGAAUAAAAUUUUGUUAUAUAUAUCUCUAUAAAUGAAAUUAUGGACUAUGUUGUAGUUGCUAUCUCCAUGGGCCCAGUUUUUGAAGUUCGCCCCGGGCCUCGGAAAAGUCAGGACCGGCCCUGAAUGCUGGUACACGUCGAAAAUAAAGAAAGAGGUAAUAUUACUGGGAGUCAUAAAACUUGCGUGUAAUGUUUAAUUUGGUGCUCAAACUUUCAAAAUACAGAUUUCUAGUCACAUAACUUGACAUCCGGUGCAAAUACGAUGCUUUCUCUCGUAUUCGGUCGUACGACGUGUCCUAUGUGGCGGGCCAGCGCGGCACAGGUCCACCUGUUAGUGUCUAGAAGCAAAUUUAUUGCAGAUAACUCCCUUAUAUUUUAGUUAUUUACGUAUUAAAUUCCUUAGAUAAUGAAAAAAAAACUGCGGCAACAUGGUUUGUACACAUGAUCUUCUGCUUGGUGACUCGAAUAGCUAGCCACCGGUACAAUCACUUUGUAUGUCUAACCUGCACAAAUUACUUUUACAUAUAUCUUGUCAAUACGAAUAGUACAAAUUAUAUUUUUCGAAAGCUUACGGGAGCACCGCUGUUCGGACCUGUGACCUUCUGGUCGAAACUCACGUGUACAUGGGCUUACCACUAGACCAGGUUUAUACCUAAUGUUUUAGGGACAAUUCCAUUUCUCCCCCUGACUUGAACCCACACCUGGCAUUUGCCCCUAAAUUUCGAGUAUGCUCAAAAAUACCCCUUUUCCGUCAAGUGUCCUUAUAGAAAUGCCCCUCCGUACAACUUCCGUCUGGUCAAAGGCCUUUGACCGUCUCUGAGACAUUUUUCAGACAUUUUUGCCCCUUCUGACAGAUGGGACCACACGUUGUUUCUUUAUUAUGUAAAACGUUAUUUACCAGAUUAUUGGAAGGGGGUCCACUGGUCAGCAUUUAAAAUACUAACUACUCUAUAUUGGUUAAGAACUAGUAAUUGUGUUUAGCCCUAAUUUAACCUCACACGGGCACAUCCGACGAGUGUGCAGCACGCCGGCGACGCACCAGAUGGCACGGGAGCACGCAAGGAGGGGGGGUUCAAGGAGCGCUUGAGCUCAAUGGGGCUGCGGCGGACUAGUCAAGCACGAUAGUAGGAUGCGGGACCUUCACAACCCACGACAACUGCGAUCUCCGUCGGCGGCGAGCGGCGGCGCUAGGUGGGGUGGCGCUAUGUGGCUCGGGCAGGCUCUGGAAAGAGGGCAAAAUGGCCAAGGGAUCACCAGGAACUCGAGGACAUGCUCAGACGAGGAAGGGCGAGCAUAGCCGAGGAGAUCAGGGCGCGGCGGAGCACCACCCGUGGCGGAGAAGAUGAACACCAUGGAGACGAUUUGUGGCACCUCCGUUCAAUUCAUUCAAAGGUAACACUCUAUAGGUAGAGGCGAACCUAACAGGUGUGUUUUCUGAGCUUCGAGUUGACUCUGACCACGAACUACGCCGGCGACGGCACGUACGAACAGACAAGGGAGGACUGAGCCUAGGUGGUUGCGUGGACUUUCGGCAUAGAACAGGCACGCACGAGCAGGAGACAAUGUGUGAAGGUUGCUGCAGCGCCCUUCUGCUGCCCGCUGCUACUGCUCGCCGGCGGCGAGCUACUGCGGUUGCGUCCAGAGACAGAGUGAGGGGAGGAGGGAGAGAGGGAGAGUUUUUUUCUCUUUCUGGGUCCCACAUGUAAGUUGCAGAGAGAGUUUUUAUUUUUAUUUUUUGGGGUUGGGCACUAUAUGUAAAUGACAAAUGGAGGUAGGGGCAAGAACGUCCAAGGAAUUGUUUGGAGACGGUCAAAAGCCGUUGACCAGACGGAAACGGCAUGGAGGGGCAUUUCUAUAAGGACACUUGACGGAAGAGGGGUAUUUUUGAGCAUACUCGAGAUUUAGGGGCAAAUGCCAGGUGUCGUGGGUUUGUCACGGCAGAUGUCCUAGCAAAAGGACUUAGUCGUGGAGCCAUCGCAACGGGUUAGCUUAAAGGGGUUAAAGCGGGCAAAGGACACGAGGGUUUAGACUGGUUCGGCCCCUUACGAUGAAGGUAAAAGCCUACGUCCAGUUGUGGUGGAAUUGUUGUGGUCUCGAGGAUCAAGGAGCGGAAUCGCUUUACCUAGAUCUCGAGUUGUUAUUUCUUGUCCUUGAACCGCCGCCGGGUCGUGCCUUUAUAUACACAGGUCGACGCCCGCCGGCUUACAGAGUCCCGAUGCCGGUUUAUACACAUACCGGCUCGGUCUCUACUUUGUCAUACCUUACAAUACAAGUCAUGUACUACAUGGCGGUUUAUAGCUACAGGCCUUAAUCUAUCUUUGGGCCUUGGGCCUUCGAGUCUGUGUAGUAAACCGCUUUAUUCCUUGUCUUCAUGGGCUUUUAAGUAUAAACAAUCCAUUAUGGGGAUAAUCCGGCUUCCUUGGCCGGUUUACACCUAAUAGUAAUAUCCCCAACAUUAGGCCCCAGAUUGAUUUGAACUGGUUCAUGUCAAUCUCCAAAACUUUGAGAAAAUUUCUUCUUCCAUAUCUUCGCAUAAAUCUUGUAAACCGCCAUGACGUCAUCAUCCAGAGUCAUAAUAAACCGCCAUGACGUUAUUUGUUAUUUUAAAUGGUAUAUUCCUUACCUUCAUUAAUGAGCCUCCGACAAUCGAGGCGACAAAUCUGUCACAUAUCCAUUUGUUAGGCUCCUCGAUUCUUGCGCUUGACCCUUAUCCUUUCGUCUUUAUAAAUACGGCCGAGGGUCCUUUCCAUUUUCCCCCUUUCUCUUCGUCUCCUUAUUCUUCCUCGCGACGUCUCAGAACUCGAGCUUUGUCGCCGCCGUCGACCUUCGUAUCUGCAUCAACCAAGGCCGCUGCAUCAACCUAAUCGAACCAGAGCAACGCGGCGCUCCUCCGCUGUUCCACAGCACCGGUGAGUUCAUUUCCUUUUCAACCUCAGAUCUGCAUUAGGGUUCCGCUGUUCGUCGGUGUUCUUCCCUGUUCGUCUUCUUUCUGUUCUUAGAUCUCAUAACUUGAUUUGCAACUGAUAGUAGAAGUAGGCGAUGAUACUCUAGUGUCCUUUACCAACCUCAGAAAACACCUUUUACUGCCUGAGAUCCAAUCAAACAAACGGGUUCUUCCACUGCCACCAUUUUAGGUUAAAUUUAUUUUCUCUUUUUAGAACUGUGGCAAAUCCAAAUUUAUACCACCGAUCUGUGAAAUCUGUUUGCGCCAUACUUAGAAAUUUUUGUAAAUCUGUAGCCUCUAUACCAUUGUGGGCGGUUUAUCCUUUAAACUUUGAUAACUCAUCAGAUACCAUUAGCCCUCUGUUAACCCGCCAACCUGCUUUAAAUGCUAAAAUCCGGUUUAGUACACCCAAAUGCUUGAAAUAUCAUCGUCUUCCAUCAUUGCACCGGUUUGUAAGUUGUAACCAUGAACUUUAACCCGGAUACCAUGCUUUUUUCCAGCUUGUCACCAGAAAUGGCCAAACAAUUCUGUUCCUGUAAUUGGGUUCCUUCCCGGGUUACGGAAGCGCAGCUGGCUGGUUGUGUUGCAACGGGCACUUUAGCAAAUAAGGACACUAUCCAUUGGCGAGUCCCCGGUCCAGAAUUUCCUCCUGAACCCCAAGACGGAGAAGUUAUUAUAUUUGCUGAUCACCUGAGCCGAGGCUUCACUCCUCCCGGAUCAAAAAUUUUCCGUGACGUGCUCGUCGACUUUCAAAUCCAUCCCCAAGAUAUCGGUCCAAACUCCAUAUCCAAUAUUUAUGACUGGCAAGUAUUCUGUGAAGUGUAUCUGCAAGAGGAGCCUACUGUUGAUCUGUUCCGGGGUUUCUUUUAUCUAAACCGCCGUACUGAGUUUACGGAUGGCCCCAAUACUGAACUAGGCGGGGUUUUAAUUCAGAAGAGGAGAGAUGUUGAUUUCCCUCAUGCCAAGCUUCAUAGUCAUCCUAAGGACUGGAAUCAGACUUGGUUCUACUGCCGCAACACAGCCCCAGCCAAUGAAAAUCCUUUGCCGGGUUACCGUCCACACCGGCUUACCCAAGCUCAUCCCUUUCCUCAACGGCUGACCGCCCAGGAGCGAGCAAAAUAUGCCCCUCAACUGGCAAAGCUCAGAGCCUUUGUUGCAAAUGGGCUGACAGGCGUGGAUUUCGUCCAAUGCUGGGUUUCAUGGAGCGUUUUACCUUUAAGCCGGCGGCCCGGUUUAAUGUGUGAAUACACAGGGGAUCUGAAAGACCCGCAACGCCAUAUUGACAUCCAGCUGACUGAUGAUGAAGUCACCGAAGCUGUUAAAAAGAUGCUUAAUGAGCCAAUAGAUGUAUGCAGCAAAACCGGGCUCAGUCCUUUCUAUGCUUCCAAUAAACCGCCAAAGGUAUAAUCUACCGUAUUUCUGCCUUUAUCCAUCCUUUGUUAAAUUUCUCCUUUGAUGACUUACUAUUUGUCUAUGCAGGCCGAUGAUCCAUUCUGGAAGAAAAAUCACAAGAUAAAUCGGUAAAGAAUUCUCGGCUUAAGACCAAGGCUUCAAAAAAGCCUAUGAAAAGAAGGAACGUUGAACCGUCCGAGCCCAUUAUUGAUGAUGAUCUGGAUAUUCCGGAUUCAGAGGUAGAACUUGACUCUCUCGGUUCAUUUUUUAUACACCUUAUUGACAAUGAUCAUUAUCAGGAUGAAGCGGAAGCCAGCCAUGCUGAUGAGGUAACUAUUCUUUCUUCUGAUUCUGAUCCUGUGCCAGUACCAAGAAUCCGUCGGACCAUUCGGAAGUAAAAUUUUCAUGCCCUCUUUCUUAUUUGGACUUGCACUUUCUUUUAAAGAUGCAGCAGCAUGAAGCUCGUCGCACAACUCGACAUAGCGGCCAAGUGGUGACCUCCUCCGGUUUACCAAAUUCGCCGGUUCGCAAACGCCGCCAAGAGGUUGCUUAUACUCCUGACACCCUUUACCCUAAGGCGGGUUACAUCCGAUAUCCUCUUAAUCCGUCUGACUCAAAUUAUCAGGGAACUUCCCAUUCAUCGUCCGGUGAGUCGUCAGCGACACAACUUCCUCCUCUGAAAACCGUCCAUGGGUAGGCAUAACAUACUUUUAACUUUUUGGUCUUGUAUUAUAUUGUCAUAUCGAUCUUUGUGUCUGCUCUUUUUCAGUGCUAAAGCCAAACCAAGCAAGAAGGCUAGAUUGAAUAGGCCAACCGACCAUGAACCGGCUACCGAGCCGGAGAAAACCCCCGAGGCUAUUGACCCGGAGGCUAACACUGUUAUUGAUAAUCCGGAACCUCAAGCAACCGACACGCUUGUUGAACCGGUAGAGAAUAAUCCAACAAGCCAGUCAGCUGAUCCACUAAGUCCAACUGUUGAUCCGCCGAGUCCGGCUAAAGCAUCCGAUAAACCGCCAAGCCCUGCCAAAACUACGGACGACGAUGUUGUCGUAACUGGCCUUGGUUUCAGCUCCCCUGGUCGUCCUGUCGCGUUAUCAAAGCAUAGCGCCAAAGAAGAAAUUCCUGCUAUGGACAAAGGGAAAUGGAAAUCUGAGUUAUCCAAUUAUACCAACCUCAGCGCUGAAGACCUUCAUUCUGGUUUUUUAAACCGCCUGUAUACAAGCCGCGACUUUGAAGCCGGUUUAGUAGGCCUGAUGAAGGAGCGGUAUGAGGUAAAUGUCACUUUCCCUUUGCAUAAAUAUUCCAAUAGUCCUUUUGUUAGAACUGGUCUAACGUAUCAACUCCAGUAGCCCCCAAGGGCCAGUGCAUAACAUUGGUUUGAACCGGGUCUUGAAUCGAUAUUUGCAUUUUGCUGGUGUAGCCCCCAUGAACCGGCUUAUAUCUUUUUAGAAUGAACCGGUACAUCUUAUUAAUCUCACCACUUAUAAUGAUGACAAUCCAUCUGAAUCUGAACGAAUACGCAUUAGCCCCCAAGUGUCAAGUAGAUAACUUGUUGUGUGGUUGGGACUUCAAUGUUGUAAUGCUAACUUAUUAUCUGUAUUUUGCAGGCUGAGUUGUCCAAAAAAGACUCCCAAAUCACAGAUCUCCAAGGAAACAUCAAGUCUCAGCAAGACGAAACUUGCAAAGUUAAGAGCGAGCUGACCACCGCUUUAACAACCAUGGAGCAGCUGAAGGAAUUCUUCAAAGGCGAACGGGCAGAUUGGGAAACUGAAAAAAACCACCUUGUUAAAGCGGGCAAAAGAUGCGGAAAACGCCCUUAAACUGGCCACAGAAGAGCUGAGCAGCCUGAAGCGGCAGAUUGAUGCCAUGACCUCUGCCAUCUUUGGUAACAAUCUCUUCACCAAUAUGUAACACAACCAGUUAUAAAACUGUCGGUUUAAUAACAAUAUGAUCCUUUUGCAGGUAGCCAUGUUACUCAUCUCUGCGCAGAUAUGUGCAAAAAAUUGAAGGCCGUCUAUACUUUGGUAGAGUAGCUUUAUACCGGCGCGCAACGAGCCAUCUGCACAGCGCCCCCGUCGCUAAUCAAGGAAACGCUGGAAAAAUUGUCUAUGAUGCCUGCCCGGAUUGUGGAAUUGAAGAAAUCCGCUGCUAGGUCCCGUGCCCUUACUGCACUGACGCGCGCCAAGGCCUGGAUCUCUGACCUUGAUCCGGAAGAUGUUGGAAAUGGUUACCCAAGCCAAAAAGAGGACGGUUCAGAAUUUAACAAUGACGAUCUCCGGGCUAUCACAAGAGAGAUGCGACCACUGGCAAGUAAGUUGGCUGAAGAUACUAACUUGUCAAUUUACCAGAAUGUAUAUGACGCCAGUGGCAAGCGAAUAAGUGCUCCAACUUAUGACGUGGAAAAUCUGAUCCCGCCGAUCCGUAAGCACACUUACGCUCCUGAUGUUGAACCGUCUGAUCUUAUACAAGACGAAGCUGUCUUUCAAGCCUUAUCAGGAAUUGAUUGGACAACUAUUGACUUCCAGCCACUGGGUGGAGAGAAGGAGGAUGAACCGGCGCAGGAAGAUCCGCAACCUUCACAUCAACCUGAGGCAGAAUCAUAAUCCGGAAGCCGGUUUAACUUGUGCCUAUUGUCAUCCUUGUGAAAAACAAUCAUUCUUAUGGGCAGUCGAAACGCCUUGUAAUAGGCUAGCUUGAACAGCUGAUCUGAUAUGCCAUCGUGCAUACUUGUUGCACACAAUAUUGUUAAUCCGUCAUGCUAUAUUUGCUUAUGUUCUUUAUCGGUUUUAUACAGCCCUGUUUCUGCAUAAAACAAAGUGAAAACUGUCCUGGCGGUUUACCGCCGGACGGGUCAUAAUGCCCAAUAUAUAGCCAAGGUUGAUAACCAUAGCUUUAAAUAAUGAAAUAUGAAACAUAUCAUACCUGUGAUAUUGAAUCACUUUGUUGGUUUACCAACAUUCUUGUAAUAAGGGUGACGACCCAAAUACUGAGUAUUGAUAACUCAAACCAUGUUAUGCUGGUAUAUAAUAACUGAUGCCGGGUUAUGAUAAACACCGGAUGAUCAUCCUGGCAACUUAUAGUUAACUCCAGGCCUGGUUAAAUAAACACCGGUUUAUACGGAUGACUUAUAAUCAGGCCGGGCCAUUGGACGCCGGUUUAGCUCAAAACUUUAACAAGGGAGAAAAACAAAACUGACCAAUAAAAACCAGAGAAAAAAACUUGUAGUCGAGGCUUUUCAAGGGCUGCCAGGCCCAAAUGCGAGGCUUUUCAUGGGCUGCCAGGCCACUGAGUUAAAACGUUUUACAAAGCCUUUUAAGAUGGCCCUCAAUCCUUAACCAAUCGCUGGUCUAUCAUUGACAAGUUCAGGGUCAUAUGCGAUUGACUUGUCAAGUUGGCGGGUCAUACCAGGCUUACCUGGGCGGAGUGACUUACUUAAUGAAGGCAGGUUAACCCGGGGUUUUAGAUGUAUAUACCAGGCUUCCAAGCCACGGCUUGAUAGCCUAUUGCAAGUGUAGAUUUCUUUGUUCAUUGCGAUAGCAAAGAAUCCCCAAGCAACAUUUUGAGUUGUGCUCAACGGGUACCUAUGUUUGAGUUAUUCUUGACAACACUCUUUGGCCCCUAAGUAAUGGCAUUGCGCCAGCCAAAAGGUGUAGCUAUGGUUGAACACAACCAAGCCCCCAAGUGACUUAUUGUCGUGGCUUUUGAGCCAGCCAAGAGGUGUAGCUAUGGUUCGAAUACAACCAAGCCCCCAAGUGACUUUCUUUUGUGACCUUGAGCGAGCCAAGAGGUGUAGCUAUGGUUCAAAUACGACCAAGCCCCCAAGUGACUUAUAUUGAUAGACAGUUGUAAAGCUGAUUCAAAGGGUAAACCGGAUGUCGCUUUACAAACAGAAACCUCCGUGUAACCACUCAUGAUAUGAGAAGAACAGCAGAUACCCCGCUUUAGUUGGGGCUCCGGUUUAUUAUAUUGAUCAUAAUAUAUACAUCGUCAAAAUAUGUACAUGAUAGGAGCCUAUGGCUCAGGUGUAGUACGGCCGUAGAUGAGCUAUGUUCCACGGCCGGAUCGUCUCCUCCUCUGACUUGCGUGAGUCUUUAUGCUCUCGAACAUCAAUGAGGUAAUAUGAUCCGUUGUUCAGAUUCUUGCUGACCACAAAGGGCCCUUCCCAAGGCGGGGAUAACUUGUGCAUAUCGGUCUGAUCUUGGAUAAGCCGGAGCACUAGAUCGCCUUCUUGAAAAGUUCUGGUUUUAACCCGGCGACUGUGAUAACACCGCAGGUCUUGCUGAUAAAUCGCCGAGCGAGCCGCCGCUACGUCCCGUUUCUCAUCCAACAGGUCCAACGCAUCCUGGCGUGCUCUUUCAUUAUCUGCUUCAACAUAAGCUGCCACUCGUGGUGAGUCAUGACGAAUAUCACUUGGAAGGACAGCUUCCGCUCCAUAAACCAUGAAGAAGGGUGUAUAACCCAUAGAUCUAUUGGGGGUGGUGUUAAUGCUCCAUAAAACGGAAGGCAGCUCUUCAACCCAACAACCCGGUGUCCUCUGCAAAGGAACCAUAAGCCGGGGCUUGAUCCCCUUCAAGAUUUCCUGAUUAGCUCUCUCCGCUUGACCAUUAGACUGGGGGUGGGCCACUGAAGACACAUCAAGAUGGAUGUGCUCUCUUUGACAGAACUCCUCCAUAGCACCCUUGGAAAGAUUCGUGCCAUUGUCUAUUAUAAUGUUGUGUGGAAAACCAAAACGGAAUAUCACUUUCUUCAUAAAUUGAACCGUCUUGGCUGCAUCACAUUUGCUAACUGGCUCUGCCUCCACCCACUUGGUAAACUUAUCAACCGCCACCAAGAGGUGGGUCUUCUUAUCCUUAGACCUCUUAAAGGGUCCAACCAUAUCAAGCCCCCAGGUUGCAAAUGGCCAGGUAAUUGGAAUCAUCCUCAGCUCCUGAGCCGGAACAUGAGCCUAGCGUGCAAACUUCUGACAGCCAUCGCACCUUUUGACCAAGUCCUCAGCAUCAGCAUGGGCCGUCAGCCAAUAGAAACCGUGACGAAAAGCCUUAGCCACCAGGGACUUUGAACCGGCAUGAUGACCACAAUCACCUUCGUGAAUUUCGCGUAAAAUUUCACGGCCUUCUUCAGGAGAAACACAACGUUGAAAAGCCCCUGAGACACUGCAAUGAUGUAGCUCGCCAUUGACAAUAGUCAUGGACUUGGAACGCCGGAUUAUCUGCUUGGCCAGAACUUCAUCCUCUGGUAACUCACCCCGGCUCAUAUACACCAAAUAUGGGAUCGUCCAAUCCGGGGUGACAUGAAGCGCCGCCACCAACUGAGCCUCCAGAUUAGGAAUAGCUAAGUCCUCCUCCGUGGGUAGCUUGACCGACGGGUUAUGCAAAACAUCAAGAAAAACAUUGGGCGGCACCGUAAUACGCUGGGAGCCCAACCGGCUUAAAGCGUCCGCCGCUUCAUUCUUUCGCCAGUCUACAUGAUCAACCUGAUAACCCUUGAAAUGACCUGCAACAAUAUCCACCUCUCGAUGAUACGCUGCCAUGAGGGGGUCCUUGGAAUCCCAAGUACCAGAAACUUGUUGAGCCACUAGGUCCGAGUCACCAAAACAUUUAACCCGGCUCAGAUUCAUCUCCUUAGCCAUCCGAAGACCAUGGAGCAGGGCCUCGUACUCAGCUGCAUUAUUAGUACAAGGAAACAUCAAGCGGAGAACAUAACAAAAUUUGUCACCUCGAGGGGAAGUAAGAACCACUCCAGCCCCCGAGCCCUCCAAUUGCCUGGAUCCGUCGAAAUGAAUCGUCCAGUAUGUGUUAUCCGGUCUAUCCUCCGGCACCUGCAACUCUGUCCAGUCAUUGAUGAAAUCCACGAGUGCUUGAGACUUGAUGGCCGUGCGAGUCAUAUAUUUUAAUCCGUGAGGCCCAAGCUCAAUAGCCCACUUAGCAACCCGGCCAGUCGCUUCUCUGUUCUGGAUGAUAUCUCCCAAAGGAGCAGAACUAACCACAGUAAUGGGAUGGCCCUGAAAGUAUUGCUUCAGCUUCCAGCUCGCCAUAAAAACCCCAUAUACAAGCUUCUGCCAAUGUGGAUAUCUCUGUUUUGACUGAAUGAGCACCUCACUGAUAUAAUAAACCGGCCGUUGAACCGGAUACUCCUUUCCUGCCUCCUUGCGCUCCACCACAAUAGCCACACUGAUAGCCGGAGCAUUAGCAGCCACAUAUAACAGCAAUGGUUCCUUGUCCAUGGGAUCAGCAAGAACAGGUGGUUCGGCAAGCUACCGCUUUAGAGCCUCAAACGCUUCAUUAGCCGCAUCACUCCAGACAAAGUUGUCCGUGUUCUUCAGCAUUUGAUAUAAAGGGAUGGCCUUCUCCCCGAGACGACUUAUAAACCGGCUCAAUGCUGCAAUCCGGCCUGCCAGUCGCUGAACAUCAUUGAUGCACUUCGGUUUAGCCAGUGAAGUAAUAGCCUUGAUAUUCUCCGGAUUAGCUUCAAUGCCCCUGUUAGACACCAGAAAACCCAAAAGCUUGCUUGUUGGCACACCAAAAACACACUUGGCCGGGUAGAGCAUCAUCUUAUAAACCCGGAGGUUAUCAAAGGUCUCCUUUAAGUCACCUAUUAGUGUUUCCUCCUUCUUGGACUUCACCACAAUAUCAUCCACAUAAGCAUGAACAUUGCGCCCAAUCUGGUUAUGAAGACAAUUCUGAACACAACGUUGGUAAGUUGCCUGGGCACUCUUGAGCCCAAAGGGCAUAGACACAUAGCAGAAGGCUCCAGAGGGAGUUAUAAAAGUUGUCUUCUCCUGGUCCUUAACUGCCAUCUUAAUGUGAUGAUAACCUGAAUAAGCAUCCAGAAAACUCAAACGCUCACAACCCGCCAUAGCAUCAAUGAUUUGAUCUAUACGGGGGAGGGCAAAAGGAUCAGCCGGACACGCUUUGUUCAAAUCCGUGUAAUCCACACACAUACGCCAGGUGCCAUUCUUCUUAAGCACCAGCACCGGAUUAGCCAACCACUCCGGAUGAAAAACUUCAACAAUGAACCCUGCCGCCAAGAGCCGGGCUACCUCCUCACCAAUAGCCUUGCGCCUCUCUUCAUUGAACCGGCGAAGGAAUUGUUGGACCGGUUUAAACUUGGGAUCAAUAUUAAGGGUGUGCUCAGCGAGUUCCCUCGGUACACCUGGCAUGUCAGAAGGCUUCCAUGCAAAGAUAUCCCGAUUCUCACGGAUGAACUCGAUGAGCGCGCUUUUCUAUCUCGGAUCCAGAUUUGCACUAAUGAUGAACUGUUUGAAUGAAUCGCCGGGCACAAAAUCAACCAUCUUAGUCUCAUCAGCCAAUUUAAACUUCAAGGCCGGAUCAUGCUCCGUGGUUGGUUUCUUCAAAGAAGUCAUGUCCGCCGGAUCAACGUUGUCCUUAUAGAACUUCAACUCCUCUGCUGCACAAACCGACUCAGCAUAGGCCGCAUCACCUUCCUCACACUCCAAAGCGAUCUUGCGGCUUCCAUGUACUGUGAUAGUCCCUUUAUGACCUGGCAUCUUGAGCUGCAGAUAAACAUAACAGGGUCAUGCCAUGAACUUAGCAUAAGCCGGCCGUCCAAACAGGGCAUGAUACGGGCUUUGGAUUUUCACCACUUCGAAAGUCAAUGUCUCUGAUCUUGAGUCAUACUCAUCUCCAAAAGCGACUUCCAGAGCUAUUUUACCAACCGGAUAGGCUGAUUUGCCAGGCACCACACCAUGGAAAACAGUGUUCGACGAUUUAAGAUUCUUAUCUGUCAACCCCAUACGACGGAAGGUGUCAUAAUAUAAGAUGUUGAUACUGCUGCCUCCGUCCAUGAGCACCUUAGUAAUCUUAUAACCUCCAACCUGAGGCGCUGCCACCAAUGCCAAAUGACCCGGAUUGUCAACCCGGGGCGGGUGAUCCUCUCGGCUCCAGACAAUAGGCUGAUCAGACCAUCGCAAAUAACGAGGCACUGCCGGUUCAACCGAGUUCACCGCUCGUUUAUGAAGCUUCUGAUCGCGUUUGCAUAAGAUGGUGGUGAAAACGUGGUACUGUCCACUAUUCAACUGCUUUGGGUGACUUUGGUACCCUGACUGUUGCUGCUGCGGUCCUUGUUGGUUAUAACCACCCUGGUUGCUCUGAUUGCCUUGAUUGCCAUGUCCACCCUGAUUGCCUUGGAAUCCUGAACCGGAGUUGCCUCCUCCAUGACCCGGCCCAUAGGACCCGGAUCCUGAACCGCCGGAUGGUCCAUGAUCAUUCCGGAAGAAAUCUGAAUUUUUGAAUUCUCACAUGAUAUAACAAUCUUUCCAGAGGUGUGUGGACGGUUUGUCCUGCGUUCCAUGCUUCGGGCAGGGCUGGUUCAAUAGGUAAUUCAGGCGCUCCGGAUUAGGACUGGGCUCUGCCCUUCUUGGGGGCAGCUUUCCUUUACGACGCUGACCAUUACCCUGUGUAUUGGUGUUAGCCACAAAAUCUGAAUUAUGAUCUGCUUUCCGCUUACCAUUAUUAUUGUGGCCCGUCGGGUUAUGCUGCUGCCCCUUGGCGUUGCCGCUCUUCUUUCCCUUCCCCGGUUUGUCAUCGCCAGACUCGGGGUCCUUGGUACUAUCAGAAUCAGCAUACUUAACCAGAGCAGCCAUAAGUGUUCCCAUGUCAUUGCAGUGACGCUUGAGCCGUCCCAACUUCAACUUUAAAGGCUGAAACUAACAAUUCCCCUCCAAUGUUAUAAUCGCCGAGUCGGCAUUGAUGCGAUCCAAAGAAUGUAAGAUCUCUGAAACCCGGCGCACCCAAUGGGUUGUUGACUAGCCUUCUCCCUGGACGCAGGCGGCUAAGUCCACAAUUGACAUAGGUUGCUUGCAUGUGUCCUUGAAGUUUGCUAUAAACCGGGCUUUUAACUCAGCCCAUGUCCCAAUGGAAUUAACUGGUAAGCUUUUCAACCACGUGCGAGCUGUUCCAUCCAAUAUCAUAGCAAAAUAUUUCGCGCAGGCCACUUCAUCCACAUCUAACAUCUCCAUAGCCAUCUCAUAAAUCUCAAUCCAUGACUCGGGAGGCACAUCAGCGGUGUAAUUAGGCACCUUACGGGGGCCCUUGAAAUCCUUGGGAAGCCGUACAUUGCACAAAGCCGGGACGAGGCAGGGCACCCCCCAAGAGCUGAAAGUAAGGCCUUCCUCUACGGAAGCCACCGAACGAAACGGAGUGAGCUGACGGUCCUGCGCUGCUAACUCGGCUUCUCGACGUGCUCCGUUGUUCACCACAUCCUGAGCAUUUGCCCCACCACGCGCCGGAGUAGGUCCUCGAGGAGCGUCUCGGUUCCGUGCACUGCUUGACACAGCCGGUUCAUCGAUGUGCCUGCUAUAACUCCGGCUCGGGCGUGGGGUUGAAUGAAUUAUAUCUCGGCUGUAUGAAUAAGCCUGCUGCUGCACCAUAGCCGUCUGAAGAAGAUCCCUAGCACGUCGCGUCUCAACCGCCGCUAGGGAUUCACCCUCCAUUGGAAUAACGGCUAAUCAUGAUGUGUAGCGAUCAUAUUAUCCAAAGGGGUGGAGAAGUGACCCGGCGGCGCCGGUACAUACUGCAGCGGGUUAUGGGUCCGUCGAGGGGGAUCCGUCACCCGUGGCUAAUCCGGUGCUCCGGUCCUCGGCGUCUCAAUCCGACUCACCGCUGCCGGAUUACUGGUUCCUGCUCCUGGCGUGCCAAAGAGAUUCAUUGCCUCAUAAACCGGUGGUAGUCGUGACCGAUGCCUUCUCCUUAACACGUCGUUUGAAGCAUUCUGAUCCAACAGGAGUCAAUAAUUUUCCGCCUGAAUCCGCUGUGCUUGUGCCUCUAAAGUGGCCCGCUCCUCAGCCAUCCUGGUUUCUUCAGCCGCUAAGUCCUCCUUAGCUUGAGUUAUCUGAUCCUGCAGCUUAGCCACCUCCGCAUUAUGCUGAUCUUGGGUGUCGGCGGUAACUUGUGUGGUCAGUAAGGUCGUCCAGGCGUCCAAUAAAUCGAAAGGCCGGCCGGCGCGCGGGGCCUCCCGCCCCAGCUGCCGAUCCGGAAAUUAUUGCUGCCGCGGUUGAAGAUUGCAACGUGGGCUGAGUUCCAGCGAUGAAGAUCGCAACCCGGUUCGACGGUUCAAAGGGGUCUGGAAUACUGUCGCCAUCGGAAUAGCCCCCAAACUGGCCAUCUUGCAGUUGGUACAGUGACUCGGUCUCCCCGGUGGAUGACUCGUCAUCUGAGUAGACGACGGUCUCGCCAUCGGACGUCGGUUCAAGUUCCGCACCAUUGAUGAAUCCUACGAACAUACGCUUCACGGCGGGCUGAACCCGGGCAGGGCUUGCACGCUGAGCCGGCUCGACGAGGUCGGUGCGGAUGUCCGGCUCGGGGCCCGGUUCGCCGAUCUUGCCGAUGAAGACGUGAAUUCCUCCAAAGGGGACCCGGUACCCAUACUCGAUUGAGCCGGCUUCAGGGCCCCAGCCUGCGUCGUCGAUGUAGAGCUUGCCGCGACGACUCUUGGUCAUCCGGCCCAUGGCGUAUCCCUUGAGCCCUUCAAAAUUGCCCUUCAAGAACUUGAAACCAUCGCGCGAUAGCCCCACGGUGGGCGCCAACUGUCGUGGGUUUGUCACGGCAGAUGUCCUAGCAAAAGGACUUAGUCGUGGAGCCAUCGCAACGGGUUAGCUUAAAGGGGUUAAAACGGACAAAGGACGCGAGGGUUUAGACUGGUUCGGCACCUUGCGAUGAAGGUAAAAGCCUACGUCUAGUUAUGGUGGAAUUGCUGUGGUCUCGAGGAUCAAGGAGCGGAAUCGCUUUACCUAGAUCUCGAGUUGUUGUUUCUUGUCCUUGAACCGCCGCCGGGUUGUGCCUUUAUAUACACAGGUCGACGCCCGCUGGCUUACAGAGUCCCGAUGCCGGUUUAUACACAUACAGGCUCGGUCUCUACUUUGUCAUACCUUACAAUACAAGUCAUGUACUACAUGGCGGUUUAUAGCUACAGGCCUUAAUCUACCUUUGGGCCUUGGGCCUUCGAGUCUCUGUAGUAAACCGCUUUAUUCCUUGUCUUCAUGGGCUUUUAGGUAUAAACAAUCCAUUAUGGGGAUAACCCGGCUUCCUUGGCCGGUUUACACCUAGUAGUAAUAUCCCCAACACCAGGUGUGGGCUCAAGUUAGGGGGAGAAAUGGAAUUGUCCCAAUGUUUUAAAGGAAUAAAUAGUAUUUAUGUUGUCAGUUCUUAUGUCAUGUCCAUAAAAAACUAUAUUUAAUUUUUUUAAGCUUUUUCUUUGAAAAUAGUGAAACUUUUCAUCAUGAGCUAGCUUAAGAUUACUUACUAUAUUUACAUCGAAUUGACACUUGUCCCUAGAUAAUAGGAGGGUAACUAUGACUACAAAUUUACACACAUUACCUAACUUCAAAUAUAGCUUCCCCACAAAAGUAACUUUAUAUACAGUUGGCUGGCCUUGGGGCUCAUAAUUUUGGAAGUAUACAGCAAAGGCACUUUAUCUAUAUUUAUCUUUAAGAAACUAAAAUCAAGUUUAUCUAUAGCGAAUUGGCGAUGCGUAUACUUAGAUUGCAAUGCCUAAAGGAUAUCUGGACAACAUAAAGUGCAAAAGGAAUAUAAAAGGAUAUCUGGACGGGGACUCGCCGGAGGCUUCACCGGCAUCUCCAACGUUGUCCGAUCUCAUUUGUGAAUUCUUCCAUGCCGGCUAUGACAAAGAUGACGUGGCGACGACGGUCGACAAAAUCUUGCCACCCGAGGAUCCGGCUAGGAUUGGAACACACGCUGGAGAGAGGAAGGAGAUGGUUCGUCCGGUCGUGCAUCGCAGAACGGCGGCAACGGCGAUCCGGCCAUGGAAGGGCCCCUUGCCUAAGGUAAAUCUCCCUAACUUAACUUUGUUCGAUUUGAUUCGCCCGGAGUCAUGGAUUGAGGUUAAGAGGAGGAAGAAGCCAUGCCGGAAAGGACCGAGAUCGGCGCCGGUGUUGGCCGCGGCGGUGAAGCCGGCGAGCAAGCCGAUCCAGAUCACGGCGGCUCGCCGAGAUCGUUUGAAAUCGAUCUUGGGCCGUAGUGGGCUGGGUUUGGACGUUUUUUCGCUCGAGGUCGUUGGGCUAGGGACUAUUGGGUAUGAGGCCCAAGUGAGACCGGGUCCUAUCGAUAGUGAAACUGGCGUCGCAUGCAUCCCAGCGCCAUCUACGUCGCGUUCGUCUACCCCGAGUCCUAGGGUUUUUCUGCGUAGGGCGCCUUGGCUGCGUUCUUCGGGUCCUGGACGCGCUAGACGGAUUCCUCCCCUGGUGGCCAUGGCGGGCCGCGGGGCUGGUCUGCAGCCGGGAAAGAACACUGUCGUGCAUACCGGGGCAGGCCGCGUCGGGGGUGCGCCGCCGCCGGGCGGUGGCAAUGGCCGUGGUGCACCGCCACCGGGUGUUGGUUCUGGCCAUGGUGCGCUGCCGCCACCGGUCUCUGGGUCCAGUCGAGGUAUGCCGCCGCUGGCGGCUGCAGCUGGCCGGGGUACUGCGGUCGGCCCUGGGAUGGCGAGUGUGGCUGCAGGGCGUGGUGGCGGUGCCCUUCCAGGGGUUCGGCCGCCGUUGCUGGGCUCGGCGGGGCUGCCUGCCGCGGGUCGAGACGGGACGACCGGUGGUCCUCGCCCGCGGACGUCGGCUCUGGCUGGGGUGACCGCAGCGGGUCGGGGUGGUGCGAUCGCACCCAGGCCGNNNNNNNNNNNNNNNNNNNNNNNNNNNNNNNNNNNNNNNNNNNNNNNNNNNNNNNNNNNNNNNNNNNNNNNNNNNNNNNNNNNNNNNNNNNNNNNNNNNNNNNNNNNNNNNNNNNNNNNNNNNNNNNNNNNNNNNNNNNNNNNNNNNNNNNNNNNNNNNNNNNNNNNNNNNNNNNNNNNNNNNNNNNNNNNNNNNNNUGCAGAUGCAGGCGCCGCCACCGCAAAACACGGGUGCUGGAGGUGUUUCGGGAACACCCCGGGGUCAAUGGGGAGAUGAUGGGUACAAUGCCUAUGGAGAUGGCCAGCACCAAGGUUCUUCGUCGACUGGCGGUGGCCGAGGAUAUGCAUGGCAGAGUGACGGGACGGCGGAGAGACCUUUUCUCGGUCCUCCGGGUGGUUUUGUUGAGGGGGCGUCUGGCCCGGGCUAUCGGCAGCGGGGAGGCUACCGCGGUCAUCAUGGUGGUCGAGGUGGUCGAGGUGGCCGGUUUCGUCGACGGCAGCCUCCUCCGCAUGUGGUCGUCGGGGCGAUUACUGCCACUGGGGCUGCCGAGGAGCCGGUGUUGUCCGGUCAGGCUAUGGAUGUGGUGUCGGCGCUCGCUAAUGCUGAGAUACCCGGGAGUGAGACCACGGUGUCGGCGUCAGUGGAGGCGACAGACAGGGCUGACUCGGACAGGGCGUCCAAGUGGGCGCGCAAGAAGGAGAAAAUGUUGUGCUAUCGGUGUGGAGAGAAGGGUCAUUUUUUUGCUGAGUGCGUGGCUGACCUUUGUGACACCUGUGGCAAGCCGGCACAUGAUUCAGGGGUUUGUCCGAUUUUUCGUGAUUAGGCGCCGUUUCUUAUGAUGUAUGGAGUGUAUUGUGCUGAGCUCACGUUCUUUGAGUCUCCUGAUGCGAUGGAGAUCCCUGAUGAGACCCAGAGUCUGACCACUGGGGUUGUCAAAUUACCAGAGAAGAGGUCUCUGAGACUCAGAUUGUGCAGAGGCUGAAGGAGUUAGCUCCUGGUGACUUCCAGUGGGAGCUUGUUAGUCUCGAGGCAAAUAUGUUUAGGGUUGAGUUCCCUUCAGUUGAGGAUUUGCAGAGACUUUUGAGUUUUGGGAUGUGCAAUGUGCCGGGUACUGAUGGUGUCCUCGAGUUUCAUGAGUGGAAGAAGGUCGAACCUCAGGGUAAGCCGCUUACUCAGGUUUGGCUGCGUUUUUCUGGGGCUCCCUCGAAGCCGAUGCAGGAUGCCAGGGUCGUGGCUAGCUUGGGCAUUAUGGUGGGGAAGACUGACAGAGUGGAUAUGGCUUAUACCAGAGCUCACGGGAUUGCCCGACUGCUGGUCAGUGUUCUGGAUAUUGAGUUCAUGCCUGAUGUGGUCAAGUGGACAUAUCGAGGCCAGAUUUAUAACCUCGUGAUUGAGUUUGAGGAUGAGAGUCUGUUCUCCGAGGCGGCUAACGGGUCUGAUGUUGAUAUGCACGAGGGAGAUGAGAGCUCGGGAGCUAAGGAGGCACCGGUUGAUGACACUGGACGAGAGUUGUCCAAUGGACCGGGAUCCGUUUCUCAAACGUCCGGGGAUGGGACGGUGCCACCCUCCUCGGUGCCUAUGACUUCUCUGAGAUUUGGAUCUUUCGAGCCGGCUUCUGCGCCUCCGAGACUUUGGAGUGAGCGGGUGGAGUCUGACGAGGUUUUUGAGCACACAUUACCUGCUUUGGAUUUUGAGGAUGCUGUGAGUCCCGUCCUUGGGGCUUUGCCGAUCUCGGUCAGGGGAGAGGAGGAGGUGGCUCCCUCUCAUGUACUACUCGUUGAUUCUCCUCAGAUCGAGGGUCCGGCGGUGGAGGUCUUUCCCUCGGGAGGGGGUCCGGGGCUGGUGGUCUCGGUUCCCUCUUCUUCUGUCGCGAUGCCGGAGCUGCAGGUGGCGGUGGCCUCGGCGCCCUCUUCUCCUCUCGCGGUAGACGAGGUUUCGGUGGUGGAGGUUUUAUCUUCGGGAGGGGGUCUGGGGCAGGUGGCCUCGGCAUCCUCUUCUCUUCUCGCGAGGCCGGAGCUGCAGGCGGCGGUUCUGCAUUCUGGAGGGGGCUCGGGGCCCUCUUCUCCUGGGGCGCCUAGGGUGGCCGGCCCUCCUGUGGCGCCGGUGAGCCCUUCUUGCCGGCGGGCCGGGGUGGGUGGGGAGCUCGGGCAGGUGACCCUUGCUCCCUCCUCCCCCGGCAUGGUGUCGUCUCUCUGCCGUGGGGCACGACCGACGUCGGUGGUGCCCUUGAGUGCCCCACCGCUUUCCGGCGGUCCAGCUGGUUCGUCGAUGGAGGCUGACCGGCUGCGUGUUCGGGGUGAGGCAGGAGGCCCCACCCCGAGCAGGGUCACUCGGGAGGAGGUGAUUGCGUUCAGCGGGAUUCCAAAUCCGGUGUCUGAGGGGCGACGGUUGAGCUGCCGUCUCCAGGAUCAUCCAGAGGUUGACGACAUACAGCAGCGGUGCGCAAUGAGGGCGGCCAAGCUUCGUGACGUUGAGGUCACUACUGGUAUGUCGGUUAAUACCUCAAAUUCCAUCUUGCAUUUUUCUAAUGAUGAGAUUAUUAAUAAUGCAAACCAAUUAGGAAUUUCACUAGGUAGUAAUGUUAGUGAAAUUUCAAAUUCCGUUAAUGAUAUCCUGGAUUUAGAGGCAGAGCGGGCUUUAGAGAUGAUUCGUAACUUAGCAGCGGUUAAACCCAUGAAUGAUUCCGAUAUUGAUGCUUUGGGGGUCAGGGUGCUCGAUAAUUUUUGUGCGGAUCUUGCUCCUCCCCUACCUGAGCCUGAGGAGGAGGAUGAGAGUUUUGAGAAUGUUGUAGUCAGACCUUCUAAGCCUGGUUGUGAGGACCGGCUGGAGAGUAAGAACAUUCCUAAACGCAAAUGGAAGCGGAAGAUCUACCCGACUUCCGCAGUGCGUAGGAGUGCUAGGAUCCGCACGGCUAAAAAAUUCCAUGACGAAAUAUGAAAGGAAUCUUUUGGAAUAGCAGAGGUCUGAAAGACUUGGCUAAAAGAAGGUUUCUUGCAGAGGCGUCUAUCGAGCAUAGGUUGGACUUUAUCGCUUGUCGGAAACUGGUAGAGAUAAUUUUUCGCCACAAUUUCUCAAUACUUUAUCCGGCGGUAUUGAUUUUGACUGGCAUUAUUUGCCACCGCGAGGAAGAUCGGGUGGGAUCUUACUCGGAGUUAGAUGCGAUUCGCUCGAAGUCCGGAGUGUGGUCAUGGGAGAUUUUGCUGUUAAGUUUAGGGUGCGGUCGAAGGCUGAUGGGUUUAAUUGGGCUCUGGUGGCGGUAUAUGGUGCCGCACAGCCCGAACUCAAACCUGAUUUCUUGGCUGAUCUAGUUAGGAUUUGCGGUUCUGAGCAGCUUCCAAUCCUGGUGGGGGGUGAUUUUAACAUCAUUAGAAGGCGUGAUGAGAAGAACAAUGAUAACUUUGACGGCAGAUGGUCGUUCAUGUUUAAUACUAUCAUUGAAAGCUUGGAUCUAAGAGAGAUAGAGCUUUCGGGAAGAAAGUUCACCUGGGCUAACGCGAUGCCAAAUUCGACGUUUGAAAAGUUGGAUCGAGUACUGGCUAGUGUCGAAUGGGAACAGAAAUUUCCCUUUGUAAUAGUUCAGGCACUUUCUCGUGGUAUUUCUGACCACACGCCUUUAUUUCUUGACUCUGGUGAGGCCACCCACUUGAGAAACAAAAACUCAUUUUCGUUUGAGCUUGCUUGGUUUGAAAGAGAAGGCUUCUUUGAUCUCGUAGCCAGAGAGUGGGCCAAGGAUGCAGGAGGUAGGACUAUGCUUGAGCGUUGGAAGAAUAAGAUUAGGCACUUGAGAAGUUUCCUACGUGGGUGGGCUAAGCAUCUUAGCGGGAUUUAUAAGGUCGAAAAGGAACGGCUCCUUACCCUUAUUCAGUCCCUAGAUGUAAAAGCAGAAACCACGGUUCUGCCAGCCUCAGAGCUUCAUGCCAAGCUUGACGCGGAGAUGAGGCUGAAAGAGCUUCUUCGUGAAGAAGAAUUAAAGUGGGCGCUGCGGGCCAAGGUCCGACGAGUUGUCCAGGGGGACGCGAACACUCAACUCUUCCACAUGAUCGCUAAUGGCAAACACAGAAAGAAGAGGAUCUUUCAGCUUGAACAAGAUGAAGGAACGAUUCUAGGUCAGGAGAACCUAAAAUUAUACAUUACUGAGUAUUACAAGCAGUUGUUUGGGCCUCCAGAGGAUAACUGUGUUUCUCUGGAUGAGUCUAGGAUUGAGGAUGUUCCUCAACUUACUGCUGUUGAGAAUGAUAUUUUAGCUACUCCUUUUUCUGAGAAAGAGGUGUUUGAGGCCAUAUCGCAGAUGAAAAAUAAUAAGGCUCCCGGCCCGGAUGGAUUCUCGGCUGGGUUUUAUAAGAAGUGUUGGCAUAUUAUUAAAGGGGAUCUGUUCCCAUUGUUCCAUGAUUUAUUCUCUGGACAGCUUCAGCUUUUUCAACUGAAUUUUGGAACGAUAACCCUGCUUCCUAAGAAAACAGAGGCUGUGAGAAUUGAGCAAUUCAGGCCCAUCUGUCGUCUUAAUGUUAGUUUCAAAAAAAUUACCAAGGUCGGGACUAAUAGGCUCACACAGAUUGCGCAUGCUGUGGUGCAGCCUACCCAAACUGCUUUCAUGCCGGACAGGAACAUUCUCGAAGGGGUUGUGGUCCUUCAUGAAACGCUCCAUGAGAUUCACACGAAAAAACUAGAUGGAGUUGUUUUCAAGGUGGAUUUCGAGAAAGCGUACGAUAAAGUCAAAUGGCCUUUCCUUCAACAAGCCUUACGCAUGAAGGGUUUUGAUGAAGCUUGGCGACGCCAGGUAGAAUCUUUGACGCAAAAAGGGAGUGUUGGAAUUAAAGUGAAUGACGACAUAGGUCAUUAUUUCCAGACACACAAGGGCUUGAGACAAGGUGAUCCAAUGUCUCCUAUUCUGUUCAACAUUGUGGUUGCCAUGUUGGCAAUUCUGAUAGGUAGGGCAAAGGAGGCCGGUCAGGUGUGCGGCUUGGUGCCUCAUCUAGUUGAUGGUGGUGUGUCCAUCCUGCAGUACGCUGAUAAUACAAUCAUCUUUAUGGAUCACGACUUGGCAAAAGCGAGAAAUAUGAAGCUGGUGUUAUGCUUAUUUGAACAAUUGACCGGAUUGAAGAUUAACUUUCAUAAAAGCGAGUUGUUCUGUUUUGGUAGAGCCAAUGAGGAACAAGAGGCUUAUAGGCAAUUGUUCAGAUGCGAAUUGGGGGCAUUACCUUUCACGUACUUAGGUAUACCCAUUCACCAUCGUAAGCUGACAAACAGAGAAUGGAAGUGCAUCGAGGAUCGGUUUGAGAAGAAACUGAGUUGCUGGAAGGGCAAACUCAUGUCAUAUGGAGGCCGAUUGAUUCUUAUUAAUUCGGUGCUCACGAGUAUGCCUAUGUUUCUCUUAUCUUUCUGAAGUCCCAGUUGGUGUUAGGAAAAGGCUGGACUUCUAUCGAUCCCGAUUCUUCUGGCAGAGUGAUGAACUAAAGAGAAAAUACCGACUCGCCAAAUGGGAUAUCAUCUGUCGACCAAAGGACCGAGGGGGCCUUGGUAUUGAGAAUCUUGAAGUCAAGAACAGAUGUCUUCUCAGUAAGUGGUUGUAUAAGUUAUCAGUUGAGACUGAGGCCACGUGGGCGCAGAUUCUCCGUAGUAAGUAUCUGUAGUCCAAGACUUUGUCCCAGGCGACAGUGAGACCGACUGACUCGCCAUUUUGGAAGGGGCUUAUGAGAGUCAAAGCUGCCUUCUUUAAUAGAACAAAGUUUAUAGUCGGUAAUGGCAACACCACUCGUUUCUGGGAGGAUACUUGGCUUGAUGAAACGCCGUUGGCGCUUCAGUAUCCGUCUCUGUAUCGUAUUGUUCAACGACGUGAUGCUCUUGUUGCAACGAUUAUGCAGUCCAUUCCCCUUAAUAUUCAGUUUAGGAGGGCGCUUGUUGGCGACCGGUGGGAAGCAUGGCUUCAUUUGGUGAGUAGACUGAUGGAGGUUCAGCUAUCUCAUCAGCCCGUCAGUUGUGUUGGUGCUUACUAGGUCUGGAGAGUUCACAGUUAAGUCGAUGUAUAUCGAUGUCAUUAACUCUAGUGCUAUUCCUAGUUCCAAAGAUGUUUGGAAAGUCAAAGCUCCUUUGAAAAUUAAAGUGUUUAUGUGGUUUGUACAUAAACAAGUCAUUUUAACAAAGGAUAAUUUGGUUAAGCGCAACUGGACAGGAUCUACUAGGUGUAGUUUUUGUGAUCGGGACGAAACUAUCAAGCACCUCUUCUUUGACUACCCGUUGGCGAGAGUUUUGUGGCACACGGUGCAUAUUGCCUUUAACAUUACUCCUCUGAAUUCGGUCAGUACGUUAUUUGGAACGUGGCUUGUUGGGAUAGAGUCCGAAACAGCUAGACACAUUCACGUAGGAGUAUGUGCUUUGUUGUGGGCAAUUUAGAACUGCAGAAAUGAUUUGGCUUUUAACAGAACAACAAAUAUUCAUUUUUUGCAGGUUUUAUUCCGGGCUACUGCGUUGAUCCAUAUGUGGUCGUUACUCACUCCGACGGAGGCCAGGGAGCGUUUGGUUACUAGAUCUGUCCGGUGGAAGAUGGUAGCGCGGGAUAUCUUCAACCGGUUUGGAUGGCGGUCAUGUAAUAGGAUAGGCGAUUAGUUUACCUAUCUUUGUUAUGCCAGCCGGUUGUGGCUUUUGGGCCUAUUGUUUUUGGCGUUGUGGCUCUUUGUGAGCUUGCCGUUAUUUUGUUUUCAGACUAUAAGACCUUGUUGAACCUCUUUAUUUAUCUAUAAAUGUGAUCGUAUGCAUUGUUCUGAUGCAGAGGCCGGGGAGUCCCCUUUUCAAAAAAAAACUAGAAUAUAAGUUGUUAAAAUUCAAAAAAUAAGAAUAUGAGUUGUUUUCUUUCAUAGAAAAAAAGAAUAUAGGCUAUAUUCUUACACAGAAAAAAAAGAAUAAUGGAUAACAAAACUUCGGGUCCAUUUAUAGUACCAACGUCAUCUUGGUCGGUUGGUUAGCCCACGCACAUGUGCCGAGUGACAAAGGUGUUUUUUGGUUUUAGAUGUUGAUUUUAUUUUGUAAGGUCUUCAAAGGAUAUAUACAUUUUAGUGUGCAUUCUAGAUGUCAACCAUGAGUGGUCUGGUGGCUAUCCAGUUUAGGUAAUUAAAACUAGAUUGUGGGUUCGAACCACGCCGUUCCAACCUUUUUCAUUGUUUGAGGGAUUUUAGACGCAAAUAUAUAAAUUGCUAGGUAGUAAUCUGCAAAAAGUCCGCCUCCAGCCAAUGACAGGUGGGCCUGUGCUGUGCUGGCGCACCACGUGGACAAGCCAUAAGGCCAGAUACGAGAAAAAGCACCGUAUUUAAACGUGAUGUCAAGUUAUGCGACCACAAAUUCGUAUUAUUAAAAUUUUAACACCUAACUAAAUAUAAAGUGCAAGUUUUGUGACUACCGGCGAUAUUACGAAAAGAUAGUAGUGUUUCCAUGUUCAGCGCGCAUGCAUGCCUGCCUUUUCGUCUGUGGAUCUCGCCGGCCGCCUGCCCCGGAUUUGGGCGUGUGGUUGUGUUUCCUUGUUCAGCGCGCGCGUACGUGACACGACUUUUGUUUUUGUUUUUGGGUGCAUUUUUCACGGCCUACCUGUCUCUCUUUACUCACUGCAUGCCACACAGACCAGAACACGGGGCUAUAUUAGAGCAUCUCCAGCCGCGUCCCCAACAGGUCUUUCUCAGGCGUUUUUCCCGCGCCGCCGGUCAAAAAUCGGCCCAGUCGCGUCCUCAGGAGCCCGUUUUUCGUCGGUUUGGGCCCAAAUUGACGCCGGCGGACCCAGGCCGAACCCGACGCGCUGAGGACGCCCGGGGGCGCCAGGGCGAGACGUUUUGGUGCGAAAGCGGAUGGUCCCGCCGAGUCAGCGACACGCCGCUUCGUCGCCCUCAUCGUCUCGGUUCUCGCGGGAAUCAAUGCGAAGGCUGCCGCGCUGCCGCGCCGGUCAGCCUUCAUUGAUGCCUCACGGGCAGCGCAGUGAACGCGCCGCGACGCGCGUCCAGCCACGCUUCGCCCGGCAUGCAGCCCGACGCCGCCCAGCCACGGCUAUAAAAGGCGUCCUCCCCGCCGGUGGACUCCACAGCUCUCAUUUCCCCCCUCUCCGGCGCAGAAAGCAGCACUCUUCCCUCUUCCCGCCGACAAAGAAAGAUGGCCAAGAGGUUCCCAGGUGACGGCGCGGCGGCGAAUGGAUUCGGCCGCCGCCACCUUUAAGAGGCGGAGGCGCGGCUGCUGUACGAGGCGGAGUACCCGGCGCCCCCGGACAUGCGGGUGUCGGGGACAUGGAGGCUGAGCGCCGGCGGCGUCCCGGUGCCACCGGUGCCCGAAGGGGCGGCACGGCUACGCCGCCGACAGUCACACCCUCUGGACGAUGUACUUCGAGCGCCGCCGCGAGGAGCAGAUCGCCUCCACAACCGGCGUCAUCCCGCGGGGCCGCCACAACGCCGACGGGCGGCGCAAGUGGUGGGGCGUUCCGGGCCGCACCCUCGAGGCCGUCCUCGACCACAUCGAGACCGGCAACAUGCCGCGCCACAAGUACCCGCCGCGGCCAUCCUUCUCUCGCCGCCGUGGUAGCUCCUGGACGCCGCGGCGGACGGAGCCGGGGUCGUCUUCGUCGUCGGGCUCCGGCUCGCCGGCCGCAUUCCGCCCCGUCAAACCCGAGCCGGAGGAGUCGCCCCUCCGGCGCCGCACCCGCAGCGGCGGCGCCCUCGUCAUCAAUGAGGUCGCCCGAUCCUCCCCGCGUGGAUCCUACCGCCUGGUUCAGCCGAAGCCGGAGCCGGGGCUGCUCACGGUGAAGCCGGAGCACGUCGAGAUGGCAGGCCCCGACGACGAGUUCACCCUCAAGUGGGCGAAGGAAGACUACGUCCGGGAGCAGGUACGCCGCCAGCGCCGGGCGUACGAGGAGCUCCAGGCCCGUCGGCGCGGCCGCGAGGAAGGCGGCGUCAUCGUCCUCGACAGCGACGAGGAGGGCGAGGCCGGGCCGUCCAGCGCACCACCGCGCCUCGGCGACCCGGGCCAGGGCUGCAGCAGGGAGGCCGCCGGCCGGCCCAAGCCAGCCGCGCGACGACGACGAUGACGGCGGCGACUACACCCGCUUCUACAGGCUCCUUGGCAUGUAGACAGCGGCGGUGGCGGCUAGGCGUAGUUUAGGCGUUGUUAGGCGUAGUUUGCAUGUGUUUUGUGUUUUUUGUACAAAUUUCAAUGAAGUUUCGCUGAGUUCGUGUAAAAAAGGUCGAGUUUUCAUAUAUUUUGUACAGACGUCGCCAAACCCGGGAGGACCUGUGGACCGACGACUGGGAGCUAGGUUGCCCCAGAGGCCAAUCUCGCGCCGGCUCGUCCCAGGCGGCUCUUUUUCAACGCCCUGAGGGGCCGAACAGCUGGAGAUGCUCUUAGACCUGACAGCUCUCCUCACUCCCAAGUCACAACAUGGCUGCGUGCACGCGUGCGUGCGCACAAGACCAAGAUACCGACUGCCACAGAAUACUUUGUGCACGCACGGUCGAACCAUGCGACGCAGCAGCGUAGCUUGCAUCGAACGAGUGAAAGUUGAGUCGCCAAUUGGAUUUGGGGAAGGAGACGAUCUUGCUUAUUUGCACUGCCUUUUGACUCUCGCGUCCGGCCGCUUAGGCCAACUCCAACGUGCGAUCCCAUCCCGUCCGUCGUAGUCCGUUUAGGGUUGAAUAAACGAAUAACGCGGUCUAAUGCGCGGCCCCAAACGGAUAAAUGUCCGGUUUUCAUCCGUUUUCAACCCAUUCUCGGCCCAAACUUGUGCCGCGUUUGGGGUGAAACGGAUAUCGCGCGGACGGGUUGGACGCACGCUCCUCCCCGUGGCCCUCCUGUUGGGGACACUAGCACUCCAUUCGCCUCCAACCCCUCCACCCGCUCUCCACGCCCCACCCCGCUGCCGGCGCCGUCACUAUUCUUCGGCCGCCUCCUCACUGCUCACCCCCCCGGUCGUCCAUACCAAACCACGUCUCGACAUGGCCGCCACCACGCUCGCGCGUUCCUAGGAGUUUUGGCCGUUGGUUGGAGGAGUUUUGGUCGUCGUCGUCGUAGCCGGUGCCAGAGUGGAUACGACCACGACAGCUUCCGUCGGGUGCCCGAGAGCGGCCUGUAGCCGGCCGCCAACCACCCCUGCUGCAUCGAGGUGAUCAUAGCGGCCUCUUCGUCACCACGACCGCAAGGUGUUUGACACUUUGCCCACAAAGGUAUGGAUAGUGGAGAUGAAUUUUUCUUCAACCACUUCAUUUAUUCAUCGGACUCAUCGGAUGACGAAGAUCUUGUGGUGGCUACAGUGGUCGUUCACGACCACAUUCAACAGCAGCUUCCUCGAUACAGGGGGUCAGUCCCUGGUCGUGCUCCCAACCUGAACCGCAACAGAGAGAGAGGCCAGGCCCUGCUCUAUGCCAUUACUUUGCGAAUACUCCGCCCUUCAAACCGAAUAAAUUCCGUCGCCGUUUUCGUAUGGCAAGGCUUGUGUUCAAUAGUAUCCGAAAGGGAGUGGUUGCUCAUGACCCAUACUUCGAGUGCAAAACGGAUGCCCUUGGCAAGCUUGGAUUCUCCUCUUGUCAGAAAUGCACCGCGGCCAUCCGCAUGCUUGCAUAUGGAAUUCCAGGCGAUCUGGUGGAUGAGUACGUGCGCAUGAUUGAGCCCACAUGCCUGCCGUCACUAUACAGCUUCUGCAAGGCUGUGGUGGCAGUGUUUGACCCUGACUACUUGAGGCAGCCAAAUGUGGCUGAUACAGAAAGGAUGUUGGCAAUCAACACCGAUAGAGGCUUUCCAGGCAUGCUUGGCAGCAUAGAUUGUAUGUAUUAGGAGUGGAAAAACUGUCCAUUUGCUUGGCAGGGCCAGUACAAGGGGCAUGUUAAAGCGUGCACUGUCAUAUUAGAAGCGGUGGCUUCGCAAGAUCUUUGGAUAUGGCAUUCUUUCUUCGGCAUGGCAGGUUCUCACAAUGAUAUCAACGUGUUGCAGCGUUCUCCAGUCUUCGCAAGGCUUGCAGAAGGACACUCCCCACCAGUCAACUUUGAGAUCAAUGGCCACCACUACAACAAGGGAUACUACCUAGCUGAUGGCAUAUAUCCUCGGUGGUCAACUUUUGUGAAGACAACAUCGAAACCCCAAGGUGAGAAGAGACAGAGAUUUGCGCAAAUGCAAGAGAGUGCUAGAAAGGAUGUGGAGCGUGCUUUUGGUGUGCUUCAAUCCCGAUGGGGGACCAUUCAACACCCUUCACUGACAUGGGAUGAAGGAAAGCUUUGGGAGGUGAUGACUGCUUGUGUAAUCAUGCACAAUAUGAUCGUCGAGGACGAGCGUGAUAACAGCAUCUUCGACCAAGGAUUUGAUUUUCGAGGUGAAAAUGUUGAGCCCCUGCACCAAGAACCGGCCAUGUUUGAACAGUUUGCCCAAUUCCAUCGUGAAAUGCGUGAUUGGCACACUCAUUUGAAUAUUCAAAAUGAAUUGGUUGAGCACAUGUGAAAUCACAUUGGCAACCAAUAGGUGUAUUGGUUCAUCAAUGUUAUGCAAGAGAAUUUUGAUUUGGUUGUAAAACUAUUUUAUUCGAGACAAUUUUGAUUUAGUUGUAAAACUAUUUCUAUUUGAGACAAUUAAUAUUUGAACGUGGAAACUUGUUUGAAAUAUGAGUAUAUGACAUAUUGGCCGUGGCGGACAGGAUGAGGCCAAAGGAUGCGUCCGCGCGUUGGGCGCACGGCCACCGCAUCCCAGAAAAGGCCGGGACACGACCCAUAGCCCUACCCAAACGGACAGAAUCUAAACAAAACGGACGUCUAGAUAAGAUCUGUGCGCUCGAGUUGGCCUUAUGUUGAUGCGCGUGCGUGCGCGUCGACAACAGGCAACGGAUAUGAUGCACGCCCUCACGUCGUCGGUCGAUCCAUCGGCGGAAAAGGAGACGAUCGAUGCUUCCCAUCGGCCGUUUCCCCUCGACAAACCGGCCACCACAUGCUGGAUGAUUCAAUUUUGCUGCUCCCGAUUUGCUCUUGUGUUUUCAGAUCCAAUUCUCCCUCGGGUGCGAGCUUGCUCAUGUCAUGAUGCGUGCCAUGGAUAACAACAGCGCACAUGAUAUAUUCACUGCAACUGCAUCUCAUAUACAGUAUUCAUGUCAUGAUGCAGUAUACUAGUACUCGCAGGUGAGGUUUAGCUUUGGACAAGCCCAUGUUUGCCUCCUGGAGAGUGGCAUCAGCUCAGCGGGGACAACAUGCGAUGGGGGCAGGCCAGGCAACGCCGUGCCUGCAUAUCUUGCAUUGUUUUUCAGUUCUUUGCAUAUGUAUGCAGUAUGCGUCUUCUCUCUUUAACGGCAUGAGGUUCCCAUAAUUAAAAAGGCCCCAUUGAUUCCCUCCUAAUCAUCACCGCCACUCUCCUCUCUGCUUUGCUCUACCUAGACCACUCCACCACAGUGAAAUCAAAGACAUAAUACUGUACUCGAAAUAGUAGAAAAAAUCUCUAAAGUAUACCAGGUAGAGUACUAGCUUGUACUGUGUGGUGCACCGAUGUCCUGGUGAUUAACAACCACAGUAGUGUUUGUCAUCAUAAGGAUUAAUUGGGCCCAGCUGAUGUGUGUAUUCUCAUACAAAUAUAAGCUAGGGCAUGCACUGCUGUCUCUGUCAUUAAUGUCACUUUGCAUUAUUUUUCGGUGGUCUUUAGUCCAGCUUCUAUGUUGUCCCCCCACCAUGCUCCACCUUGUACAGGUGCUAAGAGCACUGUAGUCCCUGCUGCUCCGGUCCCAACGGCUCGGAUCUUCGCUCGCUCGGGUCUUCGGCCACCGUUGCACCCCUCCCCCCGACACACACACACGCACACACAUUUGUUUUCCACAUGGCUGCCCAUCUCCGUGCUCCGUCCGCCCUUCCCCAUGUUCGCUAGCUCGUUCUUCCGGCAGCGCCCGAUGCCUCCUUCAACGGCAUGCGUUGCUCCCCUUCCUGCGAUGGCGGCUCCGGCCUCUGACCAGAUUUCCUCCUCCUUGACUAUUGCUCCGACGGCUUGGGAUUGCUCAGACUCGGCCAGGGCGAAAUCCUUGCUCGACCUCUCGAUGCUGACAGCGGCGACACCCGCGGGUGCCGUUUCCUUCUUGAAGGCGCUGCCAUGGCCGCUUCCUGUGCCCCUCUUCGUGCAUCAAGGGAGACCCUAGGUCCGGUUUUGCGGAUCGGACGGCGACCGCGCCCCGGCGUCGUUCUCCUUCAUGAAGGUGUCGUCUUGUAUGCUCGGGGUGUCCUUGGCGGUAGUUUUGAUGAUGUUGGUCCUCUUGUUGGUUUGGUUUGGGUUGUGUCCCAGGGUGGCGAGUUUAGCCGUGUUUCUUUUCUGUUUGGGCUGAGCAUCUCAUGUCCUCCUGCUCCGGUCGUCAUGUUCACGCCUCCCGCGCUUGUGUCAUGUGUUGUACCACCCCCUGUACUCACUCUUAACUUCUUCUAUCAAUGCAAUGAUACGCAAGCUUUGCGUGACUGUAGUGGAUGGCCAUAGAUGACAUGCCAGCUCCAUAUAGCCAUCAACUGGCAGUACUAUUAAUCAUGCUCUUAAAAGGAGAUUAGUACUAUAGUAGCACUAUGUGGAAGUACCAGUAGUUGGUUAGACACAACAAGCAAGGACCUGCUCUGCAGUGAAUUAGCAGACCUAAUCUGAAAUGAAGCUGCGACCUUUGUGUGGAGUAGGGACAGAAGCAUGCAUGCAUCUCCAAUUAAUUGGGUCAUGCAUGCAUAAUUGUUCGCAAUGUUGGACCGUCUGCUGACAGAUCUCAACUUAUUUCAGAUUUCAGACAAGUGAAGCUUCACAUACAGCGAGUGCGUGUAGCCGUGUACAUGUAGUCUGAAAGAAGAAACUUCACACCAAGUGAGACAAGUCCUGACCUAGUGACCUUGGCAUCUUAAUGAGCUUGUGAGCAGAUGCAUUAUUGCACUCACAUUCACUUUCUGUGCCCUUUGAUAAUGUGGGUACAGUCGAUUGUUUUAAGCCGGGAACUCCGGAGCGGACGGAACCAUGCAGGUCCCUGCCGGUGACAGGUACGGCCUUCCAGGACGACGACAGCGAGCGAGCGACGAGGAGGAGGCGGUCAAGGAAACGAGAGAUUAUCUUCUCUCUCUGCUGAGACAGGUUAGAGCCAGAUAUAUCAUUUUGUGGUCAUUAGAGAUUACGACUCUGAUUGCUGGGCAGUCAUGUUGUGGUCAUUAGAGUUUAUACUCGUGCGGCAAACACGGGAAAUCAUUUUGCGGCAUGUUGAGAUUGUCCGCUUGAUCGUGUGAUUUAUAAGCAGUGUUGAUCAGUUAGGACUGUGAUAAGCAGUGUUGAUAUACCCUGUGCUUUGGAAGAUAAUAUAUACUCCCUCUGUUUGAAAAAGCUUGUUCUAAGCUUGUCCCUCAGAUGAAUAUAUCUAGCACUAACAUUUAUUUAAGGACAAACUUUUUCGGAUGGAGGGAGUACAUGGUGUCACCAAGCUGUCCUAUACGAUUCGUUAGCACAGAGGCCUGGUAGUUGAAGUUGGGUUUACUUUUACUGCAUUUCUGUGCUUGUUAUCUUCCCUGGUCCUGUUAUGCCUGUGCAAAGCGAGCUUUGAGUGGGGUGUAGAUUUGGACAGAGCGGCGCCGCAAAGGAAGCAAGCUUUCACACUCGAAGUCAAUACUGUUUGACAUUUAGUUAGUGGCUCUUUUUGCCGUAUGAAUUAUGGAGGUGGGUAACUAGCCAUGUGGCGGAUGAUUCAAAUGUGUAAAAAGUUGCACCUGAAACAAUUGCUUUCGGGUAGAAAGUAAAAAGAGGCUAUAAUCCGAUUGUCAAAUUUUCCUUUUGGGGGCAAAAAUGGCAAGUGCAGUUCUCUACUCUGUUACUCUAUCCAUUUUCACAUCUGAGUGAUGUUUUAGAUAUUGACUUGGUCUCGAAGAUAUAACCUUUGACCACUAAGCCUGUUUGCUUGGGGGAUAUUAGAGGUUGGAAAUGGCAAUUUAAGGGGCACGUGACAUAUAAUUCUUUGUUUGGUUGGAGGGUAAUUAAGGGAAUUGAGGUGGGAUGGGAAAAACAAAUUAAGGAGGCCAAUUCACACGUAUCUCUUCACACUGGGUACCGCCCCAGCCGGGCUGGGUUAAGUUGAACACGGAUGGGAGCUACAUAGCGGCCACAGAUGCGGCGGGAGGAGGUAUGAUCCUGCGUGAUGACAGAGGCGAGAUCAUCUACAACGCAUGUAGGGAGCUACGUACAUGCGACAACGCUUUAGAGGUGGAGCUAGAAGCGUGCAGAGAAGGCUUGGAGCUGGCCUUGCACCGAUCUAACCUACCUAUUCUGGUUCAGUUGGAUAGCGCGGAGACGGUGUCGAUGAUUACAGCACGCGAGAUGGAUAGAUCGUCACAUCGUGCACUUAUAAAGGAGAUUCGUAGGUUGGCUGGAAGCGAUGCUAGGGAGAUCUCUUUUACUCUUUGUAGCCGUCUGCAGAACAGGAUUAGUCAUGAGCUGGCCGCCUAUGGCCGUAGCACUCCGCGCACAGUAGUCUGGCUUACUGCCGGGAUGGACUUUGUUGUAAACCUGGCUCUCGCUGAGAAGCCUCCUUGAGUAAUGAGAAUUCCUUUUUCCCCGAAAAAAAAUACAUGUGGGAAGUUAUUUUCUCUCAAAUUCCCUUUACUAAUUCACACCACACACCAAACAUGGGAUUGAGACUAAAAUUCAACUUUCUUNNNNNNNNNNNNNNNNNNNNNNNNNNNNNNNNNNNNNNNNNNNNNNNNNNNNNNNNNNNNNNNNNNNNNNNNNNNNNNNNNNNNNNNNNNNNNNNNNNNNNNNNNNNNNNNNNNNNNNNNNNNNNNNNNNNNNNNNNNNNNNNNNNNNNNNNNNNNNNNNNNNNNNNNNNNNNNNNNNNNNNNNNNNNNNNNNNNNNNNNNNNNNNNNNNNNNNNNNNNNNNNNNNNNNNNNNNNNNNNNNNNUCUUCUUCAAUCAACGGCGGACUUCGGUGGCCGGUGCGUCGGGCGGGGCGCGCUGGCAGGCGUCGGUGAGUGGCGGCACUGCUGCUGGCCGGUGCAGGCGUGUCGCGGUGGAGCGCGCGUGCUGGUGGCAGCACGACGUUCGCUUCGUGGCGGGGUUCGGCCCGGUCAGAUCUGCGCUGGCCGGAGAUGGGGGUGGCGGCCGGAGCUCAGCAAGAGCCAUGGCGGUGCGGCGGGCCUUGUAGGAGUCGGCAGCGAGGCGAGGGUGCGGCUGGCUGGUUGCGGCGCCGUUCGGUGGCAGAAGUGCGAGUCCGCGGCCAGUUUGGAGUCGGCGCUGUGAGGCUCGGCCGAGAUGGAGUCUUGGCGAGCAGCGAGCGGCCGGCCACUUCUGUUCGGCGUGAUGAGCAGGGAUGCUCUUCCGACGGUGCAGCCUGGCUUCGUCGAGAUGCGGGUACAGUCGUCGCAAGGCUGUCCCUUGGAGUGGGCGAUGGCUGUUGCGGGCGGCCUGGACUUGCCGGAGGUGCGGAGAAGUUGCGGUUCCUGUCGAGGCGGGGUUGUUGAUGGUGUGGCUGGUGUUCCCCUUGCUGUGCGUCCGGUCGAUGGCCCUCGGCUUGGCAGCUACGUCGGCAAAGUGCUGCGGUGGCGGCGGUGUGAAGCUUCUGGGACGGUGUUGCCCAAUUCUAGAUGGUGUGGUGAGGUGCGACGCGCGGAUAAAAAUCUUGCACGGCUUCCGUCGGGCCGGCGGCGAUGGCACCCGCGGAUGCCAUUCCCCUCCUUGGAGGCGUCGUUGUGAUGUGCUCGUCACCUCCCUCACUCGCCUGGAGUUGUGGUUGUCUCCGGGCGAAAGCCUCGAUUCGGUUGGAUCGACACAAUGGCGGCGUCUUCGACGUCGUUUCUCUGCUGGGAGCAUUGUGUUUGGAGACAUGGCCGGCUCCUCGUCGCUCUCCUCCGGUGUUCGCCGCUGUCCUCCUUGAUCCUCUGCGGCGCUAUGUACGCCCGUCGCCGGUGUGUCCAAGACGGCGACUUUCUCGGACCGGAUCGAGUCCUACCAACCACUUGCCACUUCCUCUUAGGCGAUAAGGGUGGAUGGUGCGUCGACAAGUGAAGCUCUGCGGAAGUUGGUGUUCUUCGGAGAUGUUCGGCGUCGGUCGAGACGCGACGCUGAGUUUCGAUUAGGAUAGGUCCUUUGUGUUGUAGCUUGCUUUGCGGUGUUGUGCUAUGCUCGUUGUUCGCAGCGAGUGUAGUUUCUUGUAACUUAAAUUCUGCCUUCUAUAAAGCUAUGUACGCCAAGGCGUACUCUCAAAAAAAGAGUAAAAUUCAACUUCGCACGCCUAAUCCCCUACUAAACUCCCGCGUGUAAACUCCCAUUCUCUUUCCUCAUUCUAGCCAAACAUGCUAAGGCAUUUCCAAUGCAGACCCUCAAAACGACGUCUGAAAGCAUCGAACCAAGUUGUCCGGACAUUGUUCAAUGUAACCGACAUUCUGGAUCUUCGCCAUGUAGGACUCAUACACCCCGGCCCAGCCAAAACCGAGGUUGGCCUGCACAUUUUGCGGCGGUGCCGCAUAGACCCGUACAAAAAGUUGCCAAAAGCCGACGAAGGUGGGGGUCUAGAGGAGGUGGCUGCCCGGAAGAUCAACUCGGCAACACAACAAGCCCGCCGCCUCAAAGUGAAGGCAAAGGACGGGGUGGCCGGCAAAAAGAAGGGCGGGAGCGGGGGCGGGGACGGGUACAGGUGUCUGGUGGGACCUAGAACGCAAGGCACCGCCUCCGUCCAUGCACACGCCGCCCUAGUAGGACCAAUAUCAGCCUCCCUGCUUCUACGCCGCCAAGCAACUCGGCCGGCACUCCCCGGCCUCUGCCGUCGGGCACGUGUGUAUUGCGUCGACGUCAACGCGGCGCUGCCCCAUUUCGUCGAAUAGGCAUCGCCGCAACUUAUCCGUUGCGGAUGUCGGGUGUGGAUCAGCUCGGUGCCCGCUCUUUUUUUUGCUUCUCUCAACUAGGCGAGCCAACGUAUGACAGCGCAGACAGGCACUUGUUUGAGAUGAUCCACGACGGAGGCGGAGGCUGAGGCUGGUUCGAGGACGGACAAGUGGAUGACUCGGAGUUGAAGAUCCACGCCUAGCAGAUGGGCACGCACACCCAACGACCGGAAUCGUACAUCGGGCAUCCAAAGCAGGACAAGUACGACGAGGAUGGCCUUGAUCCAGAGGAUUGGCGUACCGAUCCAAAGAAGAAGGGUAGAGAAAAAUGCUUCAAAAUGCAGGUGGACGAGUUUGUUGUGCAAUGUGUAGUUGGCCGGUAACCUGAAUCUGGUCCAUGGCAGGGAGCAAAAGGGCGCAACAUUUUGGUCCAAUGGCCAUUCUUGGUUCCAUGAGCACAAGAAUCUCUAGCCCUAUUGUGACGAACUCAUCCGCAAUCAUGGGACAAAGUCUCUCAACCAUCAAGGGUACAUCAUCCAAGAGGCGGUGAGCAAGUAUUGUGAUUUACAGUUCGGGGGGAAUGUAAUUGUCCUAAAAAAACGUGACCUAGUGCCCUUAUUUAUUCCUAAAUUUAUUUUUAGCAUUUUUGGCGAUGUGCGUUGAGUGUGAGGAGAUGUUUCCGUCAACUACGGGGCACUUUGGUGACCUAGUCAAAAACCCGAAGAUAAUAUACCGGCUCGGUUUCUUAGACGUGCUCAUAGAGGUAGGCUGUGCGUUUAUAGCGAUGAGUCUAUACGCGUCUAUAUGAGCGCGUUAUUAGUCUAUACUGUGUUAAGAAAAAGAAAGGGAUAAAAUUUAAGUUGGAUUCUUUCGAUCUACGUUAUUCUUCAUCGGCGGUGGUUGCUGUUCUGGUGCGCUGGUCCUAUGGGGCCUUAGCACGACGACUUUCUGACUGUCUACUACAACAAGUUGUGCCCGACUCCGGCGAGGGAGGGAUGAUGACGGUGGCGCGCCUUCGGCUCACUUCAGUGCCUGUAGUCGUCGCUAGAUGGUCUACGGAUCUGGAUGUAUUUUUUAUUAUUUCUGAUAUUCGUUGUAUGACAUGAUUGAACAUGAAUAGAUCGAAAGUUUUUUUUUUUAAAACAGCAGCAGCAGCGGCUGGGCAUCAUCAUCGUCGUGUCGCGUCGACCCCGCGUGCAGUUUGUUUCCUUAACCAAAACACCAGGCAAGGCAGCGCGACAGAUUCUCCUCGGCUGGCCACGGCCGGGCCGCCGGUUCCUGUCUGUCACCCCUGCGGAGCAGGGCGCCGUACUGUCGACGACGGCGACCCCAACGGCGACAGCGGAUAACACGCCUCCGCUCCACUUGCGUGCGCGUUUCAACUCUCCGUUCAACCUCAUCUUGACGUGAAAGAAAGAAAGGAAGGAAAAAUACGAGAUCCGGCGGUGGGGCCGGCCGGAGAUCUGAGCGCGACGGAGGAAUCCUCAGCCGAUCGGCGUGGGGACGCGAUGCCCCGAAUCGCCGGAGAAAAGACCGGGCGGUGCUGGUGCGCGCAUGUCACCGGGCAUUUCCCCCCUCCAUCGUCUACAUGGAGAUGGAUGCGUGCGUGCAACCAUGAUGCACGCCGCCGCCGCUUUCCGCCACCACGUGUGCCGUCGACAGCGACCGGAGAUAAACCCCCACCGAGGUGAGGUUCGUCGUACUAAGAGGCGACGAUGCACGGCGCCCCUUGGGAGGAGCAUCGAGCCAGGUGGGCGAUAGAUGGAUAGAUAGACCGAUGGCGUGACGGAUACCUGGGGAAUGGAUCGGGAGCACCACGAAGAAAUGGAUGGGAGCGUGAUGGACAGAUGGAUGGAGGGGCAUCACAUCACAUCGCAUCACAUCAUCCAUCUUUCCUAUUCUCCUAAUUUCAAAAGAGAAAUCCUCAGUCUUUGCAACGCAAUUGGCACAAGGGGAUGAGUGAGUCUGAUGGGACCUGUAGCCCUCACAUGGUGGGGUGCCGCUCUGCUCUGGUGCUGGUCCAGCUCCACGCGUGCAAAGCCAAAGCCUCAAAAGGGAGGGAAUGAUGGGGUGGAUGCCUACAUACAUACAUUCCUCUUCCCCCAAAGGUGGCCUCUGUCCAUCCAUCUUUGGGCCUAUCCACCCCACCCAUGGACCAAGGUCCUGCACAACAGAGCGUUUCUACAUCUACAGGUAAAUAAAUGGACAUGCCACUUCUGAUUGGCAAAUGCCAGUAACAGCAAAUGGUGGCAACUCCAGGGUGCUACUCAUCUGGAACUGGAAGUGAGGCCAUGAAGAUCAAUGCACUCUACUAACUGAACUCUGGUGUAUUGCCAUUGAUGCAUGUGGAACCCAAAAAUGCAAUGUCAAUGCAGAACAUGAACAAGACAGGCAAUCGCAACAACGACAAGGGAAUUGAUGACUAGAGAGCCUACAUUCACAGGAUUAGCAAGUAGGAGUAUUCCACAGAAGAGAGUUUUGGCAGGCUUACCAAAAGGGGGGGUUUACGGAUCACGGUACAGUUCCUACUUCUUCUUAACAUGAGAUCACAUGGCAUGAUUAUUAGACGGUAGUACAUGACUUAAAAGAGCUAGGAAUGGUCUAUGUGCUUGCUUUCCAGUUCCGGGGUCUCGAAAACUAGGAGAGAAAGGGAAAAAAGGCUGCAGAAACAUACGCGGCGAAGCUAGCUUAAGCCGAGGCCUUCGCCUCGCCUCAGAACACCAUU